UGGUCCCAUUCCUUUCCAGGUUAGCAAUCUUCAGAGGUUGCUCAUCUUAAACCUGUCAGAGAAUGAACUGCAAGCUCCAAAUUGGUCCAAUUUUUCCCCCAUGCCUUUUUUGACCAUCCUCGACCUUUAUAAAAAUAAUCUUUUGUCAGAAUUUCCCGAAUUUAUAUCUAACUCGUGUAACCUUACGUACCUUGACCUCUCAUCCAACAAGUUUAGAGGGGAUCUUGCGCGAGAAUCAGUAUUAACCAAUCUAGGUGAUCUUGAAACCCUCUAUCUUAUUAGAAAUUCUUUCAAGGGGUCAUUUCCGUCAGAUUUAUUCAAGCUUUCUAAAUUAAAACGUCUUCACCUGUCGAGCAACAAAUUUUCAGGUUCAAUUCCUAAUGCCAUAAGGUUGCUUUGUGAUCUUGAAUUCCUAUAUUUAGGCAACAAUUCCUUUGAAGGACUGCUUCCACCAAAUAUAUUUAAGCUUUCAAAAUUAAAACAUCUUGUUCUUCGGAGUAAUAAGUUUUCAGGAUCUGUUUCCAAUGAUAUAAAUUUGCUUCCUGAACUUGAAUAUCUCGAUCUUAAUUCUAAUUUUUUUGACGGGCCGCUUCCUCCAGAUGUAUUCAAGCUCUCCAAACUAAGGUUUCUUUACCUCUCGGGUAAUACCUUUUCACGUUCUGUUUCCAAUGAUAUAGGUUUGCUUUCUGAGCUUGAAACCCUCGAUCUUAACUCUAAUUUUUUGAGGGUCCGCUUCCGUCAAAUAUAUUCAAGCUCAAAUUAAAAAUUCUAGACCUCUCAAACAAUAGAAAUUUAUUUCAAAGAAGUUUUCCUAUUGGACUGGAACUCUUGAGUAACCUCAGCUACUUAGGUCUAAGUUCCAGUAAUCUCAGUGGCAAUAUUCCAUCUUACAUUGGAAACCUGAAGCUACUAAUAUCUCUUGAUCUCAGUUCUAAUCAAUUGACUGGACCGCUUUCAAAGCUCGUUUCUAAUGUCACAAAUCUUAUAUUUCUUGAUUUAAGAGAUAAUAGUCUUAGUGGAAAUAUUCAGACUGACUUGUGGAAAUAUAACGAUCAUCCAACUCUGGAAUACAUCAAUUUGAGUGGGAACUAUUUUACGGGUAUAGUUUUUCUCUAUAGAUCUUUUCUUUUGUCAUAUGUAACUAAGCUAGUAAUCUGAUUAAUUGCAGUUUUACCAAAGUUUCAACAAUCUUGACAGGUGAGCUUCCAACAACAAUUUGCAAUGUCACUUCCCUUUCGGUUCUUGAUUUGUCAAAUAAUAACUUAAGUGGUGCACUUCCAAAAUGUUACGGGAAUCUUGCUGAUGGAUUGCUUUACAUUAAUCUUGCGAAUAAUCACUUUCGAGGAACAAUACCCACUACUUUCUCCAGGAGUUGUCAGCUGAUAUAUCUGAACAUGGAUGAUAAUGAGUUUGAAGGAUUGAUGCCCCCAUCUUUGGCGAACUGUAAGCACUUGAAAAUUUUUGAUAUUGGCAAUAAUAAAAUAGGUGGUACAUUUCCGUCAUGGCUUUAUGCACUUGGAGAGCUAGAAGUCCUUGUCUUGCGAUCAAAUAAACUCUAUGGUACAAUAAGUGGAAGGAGCAUAGAAGAUCCCUUCCCCAAGUUGCGGAUUGUGGAUCUGUCCAACAAUCAAUUCACAGGCCAUUUGCCAAUUCAAUACUUUAAGAAUAUGAAAUCAACUGAUAAUUUGUAUCGUUAUCAGAAUGACACAGGAGUUUUUUCUUUCCAUUAUGAAGCAUCUGUCUCAUUAACUGUGAAGGGAACAGAGUAUGAAGUGAAAAAUAUCCUUCAUAUUUACACAACCAUUGAUCUGUCCUGCAACAAGUUUCAAGGAGAAAUUCCUGACGUUAUUGGAGAGCUUAGAUGGCUUGCAUUGCUGAACUUAUCUCAUAAUAGUCUAACAGGACAUAUCCCAUCAUUGCUGAGAAAUAUGAAAGGACUCCAAUCUUUAGAUUUGUCUUCAAAUCAACUGAAAGGGGCUAUUCCACUUCAGUUAACUGCAUUGACAUUUCUAGAGGUCUUGAACCUCUCGGGAAACCAUCUUAGUGGAGAGAUUCCUCAGAAAGGGCAGUUCAGCACAUUUAACAUUGAUUCUUAUCUAGGAAACUCCGCGUUAUGUGGUUCACCUUUGAUGAAGAAAUGUGCAAACACAGCAUCACCUCCACAAGAAGCCGGAAAUGGUGAUGAAGAUGAAGCUGGUGAUGAAUUGACAUGGGAAGCAAUCGUGAUGGGAUAUGGAUGUGGACUGAUAUGUGGAUUGUCAUCUGCAUACAUUGUUCUCAAACUAGGAAAGCCUUGGUGGUUUGUGAGAUAUAUCGAAGUACUGCAACAGAAGUUGAUGAAAAGAUAUGCAUGAAGAAAGGUACUGGUAGAUCAAGAUGAACUUGAAAGUUGUUGUCGUGGUAGACAUUUGUGAACCAGUAGUGUACUAGCUGCAUAAGUAUUUGGUAUUAUGUAAUAAUCCGUUUGGUCGGGACUCAAAAUGAUUUCUCUUGCUUCAGGGGUAUUAAUAUUAACCUUGCUAUCUUGAUCAAUGUUAGGGCAAAUUAAAAAGAAUAUAAAAGCAAAAAAUUUGCAUCAAACACCUGUUGUACCAACAUGCAUCCAUUAAUUUGCUUUCAUCUAUUAAGUAACAAUUUAAGAGCGCUUCCACUCUGUUUAAGCAUGGAGAUAACACAAAGAAGGCAAGUCCAUGGACUAAUAUAUUAACACGUAGUCCACAUCUAUGGUAUGAACAAUUCAUAUUGCUCUUCUAUCUGUUCAACAGUCUCCCGAAGAUAGGCCAAAAAUGUCAUCUGUGGUUCUUAUGUUUGUCAGUGAAGGAGAAUCUCUGAUGCCUACACAACCUGGUGUUUUUACAGAAAGGAAUGUAGGUGAAACCAGGGGCGUAAAAUGAAUCAGGACUAAAAUCUGCUAAAAUGAUAAUUAUUUACUCAUCAUUCAAGAUUAGUCGGGCUCAAAGAUUUAUAUGGAUUUUAAGAACAAACUAUGACUAAAUAUGAAAAAAUCAUUAAUUUUUCCGACUCAAUAUUUUUUAGCCUCCCCCGGCCCUGGGUGAAACCAUAAGCUUCUCUGGUGCACAUCCAAAUCAUUCAGUUGGUUCUACUUUCAGCUCACCCACAGGAACAUCAUUCUGCAGGUACUCUUUUAUCUGUACUUUCUUAUAUUGUAUGCCAGUAAAUUUUAUAUCGACAAACUGCACAAUACACCUCGAUCUCAUAUUAUUGACAGGUGAGCUCCUCUCAUAAUGCUCACAGGCGAACCCCUGCAUAUAUACUUUGUGAUGUCAUUGAUGAUCGAUAGACUUGAAAAAAAAUUAUGACAAAGAUUCAUAAAAUAUCUACUUCCAUCCUAAUUCAGUAUUCAAUAUUAUUCAUUCGUAUCAUCAUCCAAUCAAUUCUAAUAGUUCUUCUUUAAAUCAGUACAAAUAUUGUUAAAUACCUGGAUGAUGGUUGUCUUUCCGCGAACCAAUCAUGAAAUUACCUCUGUAUAAAUCCAUCGGAAAUAAGACAGUUAAUAUCCCAAUCGAAUACACCCCGUCAGUUGUCAAACUCCUCGAAACGUAUUAAUCACUUUAGAAAAUUUGUUCCACUGGCGCUAGUCAGUCCCAGAGUUGGUGGUGGGUGCUUCUGGGCUUUCGAAAAGCACCCAUUUACUCCAUUGUUUAGAGAAGUAAAACCCCACCUUCCGCUCAUUUGAUUGAUCAGCUGAAUUAGGCAGAGUUUACAUGGUCAUGAUCAUAGUCUCCCAUNUUAAUAGUCUGACAGGACCUAUCCCAACAUUGCUGAGAAAUAUGAAAUAACUCCAUUACUCCAAUCUUAGAUUUGUCCUCAAAUCAACUGACAGGGGCUAUUCCACCUCUGUUAACUGCAUUGACAUUACUUUUCUCUUUAUAUUCUUUCCUUUUGUAUGUACCUAUGCUAAUUAUCUGAUUAUUAAAAUUAUAACAAAGCUUCAAGAUUUUUAACAGGUGAGCUUCCACUAAAAAUUUGCAAAGUCACUUCCCUUUCGCGUCUCAUUAUGUUAGAUAAUGGGUCAAGUGGUGCACUUCCACAGUGUUUGGGGAACCUUUCUUUGCUUGGUUUCAAUAAUCUUGCUAAUUAUCAAUUUCAAGGACCAAUACCAACGACUGUCCAAGACUUGUCUGUGCAUAUCUAAACAUCCAUAACAAUCACUUUGAAGGUUUGUUGCUCCAAUCUUUGGCAAACUGUAAACACUUACAAAUUCUUGAUAUUGGAAACAACGUUGGAGAGCUAGAUGUCCCAGUUAGGGCGGUAAUUCGACUAGAGCAAACCGAGUUUUGAGCGGAGCCAAAUUCGAGCCAAGUUUAAUCGAGUCGAGCCGAGUCGGCUCGUUUAGCUAAUCGAGCCUAAAACUUAGCCCGAACUCGACUCAUUUAAUUUCACGAGUCGAGUCGAGCCAACUCGUUUAGCUAAAUGAGCUGAUUUUAACAAGUCGAGCGAGCGAGCUCGUAUAAUUUUAACUUAGUCGAGCCUGAAUCUCUACCCAAACUAUUGGCUCGUGUAAUUUCGCGAGUCGAAUCGAGCCGGCUCGUUUUAUUAAACAAGCCGAAAUUUUUGCCCGAAUUUGCUCGUUUAACAAGCCGAUCUGAGCCUAGUUAAAUGAGUUCGAGUUAGUCGAGCUCGCGAGCUGCGAGCUCACCUGCCAGCUCUAGUCCUAGUCUUGCAAUCAAAUAGGUUUAACGGUAUAGAAAGUGGAAGGAGCACAAGGCAUCCAUUCCCCAAGGCUAUUUACCAAUUCAGUACUUUGAGGAUACAAAAUCAUUCUGCAGGUACUCUUGUAUCUGUACUUUCUUGUACUGUAUGCCACUUUGACAGUAGAGUAAAAUUUAUAUCGACAAACUGCAUAUGUUCUGAACUACUCCUCUAUCCCAAAUUAGAUGAGCUAGUUGACUUUGAGCACGUAACUUAAGGUACAUUGACCAACUAGUUCCGAUAUUUAUUUUUUUAAUUUUUCUUUUGUAAAUGAAAAUUUCAUAUUUAAAUUUUUAUUUGCAAAACUAAAAUUUAAAAAUAUGUAAUGUGGCUAUGCGGUCAAUGUCAACGAGCUCAUCUAAUUUGGGAUUGGGAUGCAGGGAGUAUUACGUACUAUGUUAUGCAAGCUGUUUACAACUUUCAUCAAAAUUUUCAAACAUUUCUGAAUAUGUAUUUUCAAAGAAUUCUCGGGCACUCUUAAGGCCUAUAAUUAUUGGAACUCUCACGUUAUGGACCAGAGGACCACUAUGUAUUUUACAAGCACGACGAAUCAUGUGGUCAUUAUGGACUCCCCAAGCCUUAGAGGACUCAUUCCAGGUUUUAGGAGGACCACUGCCUAGCUCACCCUUUCGGAGUGAUGUAAAUUAGUUUCCAGACACUAAAAAUAAGUAAUCAGAUUAAUCAUUACAAAAUUUUGAUAUAAAAUCAGAAUAAAUCCUAAACUUUGAUGAUACAAAAAAAAUUAUAAUUGUAAAUUAUACAAUCAAAUUAAGAUCGAAUUAACUUCCCUCACACUUAAAAUUUAUAGCGAUCAAAUCAAAAUCGAAUUAACUUUCCUAUUACUAAAAUUUAAUUACAAUAUUAUUAGAUAAAGAGAAUAUAUAAUAAUCAAGAGAAAAUAGAUUUUUUUUUGCCACUCAACUUAUUGUGUUUUAAGAAACUUACCACCCAACUAAAUUUUUUUCCUUUUGCUCACUAAUGUUAGGUUUGGAUUUGUUUUUAGCCACCAAAUAAGGUUCGGAUUUGAUUACCAGCAUUAUGAUAAUUUUUUUUGUCACUAAACUUAUUGCGUCUUUAGAAACUAACCACUGAACUAAAUUUUUUUUAUUUUACUCACUAAUGUUAGAUUUAGUUUUUUUUGUCACUAUAGUUAGGUUCAGAUUUGAUUAUUAGCAUUACAUUAAUUCUGUGUAGCAUUUUUAAAAUAUGGUAGUAGUCUGUGAUAUUUAGAUGAUUUGAUAUAUGUCUGUAUUUUUAUAUAUAGUAUAUUUUAUGUCCCCAAGGUCGUUUACCUUGGGUCAUAAAAAUUUUACACUCAUUUUAUGACUUUUAAAAGAUGUAGUUUCAUAAAUAAUUUUAUUUUUUUCUUUCGAAUUAAAAUUCAGCAUUUGAAUUUUACACACAAAAAAAUCGCAAGAAUAAGAUAUGAAACUAUGCUUUACAAGAGUCUUAAAAUACGUGCUAAACGGUAGAAAAAACUGUAAACUAAUGAGAGGUACAUAGGGAGUAAUAAUAACAUAAAAUGAUGCACAAUCAUCGAAUUAAGUUUUCCUCUCUCUAUAUAUUUAUUUUGUAAAUUUUAAUAAGAUAAAGUUAUUAAAAUUUAUGAUAUAAAUUUAAGAGAUAUCUUAGAUUGAGUGGCAAAAAUUUAGUUGGGUGGUAAGUUUCUAAAAACACAAUAAAUUGAGUGGGAACAAAAUCUAUUUUCCCAAUAAUGAGUGGGAAUAAAAUCUAUUUUCCCAAUAAUCAAAGUGACGAAAAAUCAAAGUCAUCUAAUAAGUCCAGAAAAAAUAUGACCAUUAGUAUAUUGAAAUAAUAUUCACGCAUUUAUAUACGAGAAUAUAUGGUCCACAAGUUAGUGCACAAUGUCCAAGAAUCUUUAUCAAAUAACACGGCAAGCAUGCAGCAUAUAAAUAAGAGUGGGCAGUAUGGUAUUGCAUUCAUAACCCACUUGAGCAGAAAUAUGGCACACUUCCUAAAGCCUUCUCACCUUCUUCUCUUUGUUUUCUUUCUCUCGUUACUUCAAUCCAUUCUACCAACAAGACCAGAGGGAGAAGCUCUUGUGAAAUGGAAGAAUAGCCUAGCCCCGUCUUCUUUUCUCGAUUCUUGGUCACUAACCAAUCUCGAUAAUCUUUGUAACUGGACUGGCAUUACUUGUAACUCUGCAGGUUCAGUCUCUGGGAUUAACCUUUAUGAGAAACAACUUGAUGGAAUGCUGUCCGAGUUUGGCUUCACUUCAUUUCCGAAUCUCAACAAUCUCACCCUCGCAUACAACUUCUUCUCGGGUCCAAUACCACCAGCCAUUGAGAAUUUAACACAGCUUCAAUAUCUUGAUUUAAGCAUCAAUAGUCUCGAUGGUCCCAUUCCUUUCCAGGUUAGCCAUCUUCAGAGGUUGCUCGUCCUAAACCUGUCACAGAAUGCAUUGCAAGCUCCAAAUUGGUCCCAUUUCUCUUCCAUGCCUUUUUUGCGCAUCCUCAAGCUCAGUAGGAAUCAUCUUGUAUCGAAAUUUCCAGAAUUUAUAUCCAAUUCUCAUAGCUUGGCUAUCCUUGACCUUGGCCAGAACAACUUUACAGGUGAUCUUGUGCGUGAAUUUACCAAUCUACAAAAUCUUGAAACCCUCUGGCUUUAUCGUAAUUCUUUUGAGGGGCCAUUUCCGCCGGAUAUAGUCCAGCUUUCCAAACUAAAAGAUCUUGCCCUGUCAAGUAACAAAUUUUCAGGUUCAGUUCCCAAUAACAUAAGGUUGCUUUGUGAUCUUGAAUACCUAUAUUUAGGCAACAAUUCCUUUAAGGGGCCACUUCCACCAAAUAUAUUUAAGCUUUCAAAAUUAAAACAUCUUGUUCUUUGGAGUAAUAAGUUUUCAGGUUCUGUUUCCAAUGAUAUAGGUUUGCUUCAUGAGCUUGUAACCCUCAAUCUUAACUCUAAUUUUUUUGAGGGGCCGCUUCCGCCAAAUGUAUUCAAGCUCUCCAAACUAAAGUUUUUUGCCCUUCAUGAGAAUAACUUUUCAGGUUUUAUUUCUAAGGAUAUAGGUUUGCUUUCCGAACUUGAAAUCCUCUAUUUUGGCUCUAAUUUUUUUGAGGGGCCGCUUCCUCCACAUGUAUUUAGGCUCUCCAAAUUAAGAGGUCUGGACCUCUCACACAAUAGAAAUUUAUUUGAAGGAAGUAUUCCUAUUGGACUGGGACUCUUGACUAACCUCAGGUACUUAGAUCUACAUUCCAAUAAUCUCGGUGGCUAUAUUCCAUCUGACAUUGGAAACCUGAAGCUACUAGUACUUCUUGAUCUCGGUUCUAAUCAAUUGACUGGACCGCUUUCAAAGAUCGUUUCUAAUCUCACAAAUCUUAUAUGUCUUGAUGUAAGUCAUAAUAGUCUUAGUGGAAAUAUUCAGAGUGACUUGUGGAAAUAUAACGAUCAUCCAACUUUGGAAUACAUCAAUUUAAGUGGGAACCAUUUUACGGGUAUAGUUUUUCUCUAUAGAUCUUUUCCUUUUCUCAUAUGUAACUAAGCUAGUAAUCUGAUUAUUGCAGUUUCACCAAAGUUUCAACAAUCUUGACAGGUGAGCUUCCAACAACAAUUUGCAAUGUCACUUCCCUUUCGGUUCUUGAUUUGUCAAAUAAUGAAUUAAGUGGUGCACUUCCAAACUCUUUGGGGAAUCUUGCUGAUGGAAUGCUUUACCUUAAUCUUGCUAAUAAUCAGUUUCGAGGAACAAUACCAACUACUUUCUCCAGGAGUUGUCGGUUGACAUAUCUAAACAUGGAUAAUAAUGAGUUUGAAGGAUUGUUGCCCCCAUCUUUGGCGAACUGUAAGCACUUGAAAAUUCUUGAUAUAGGCAAUAAUAAAAUAGGUGGUACAUUUCCGUCAUGGCUUUAUGCACUUGGAGAGCUAGAAGUUCUUGUCUUGCGAUCAAAUAAACUCUAUGGUACAAUAAGUGGAAGGAGCAUAGAAGAUCCCUUCCCCAAGUUGCGGAUUGUGGAUCUGUCCCACAAUCAAUUGACAGGCUAUUUGCCAAUUCAAUACUUUAAGAAUAUGAAAUCAACUGAUAAUUUGUAUCGUUAUCAGAAUGACACAGGAGUUUUUUCUUUCCAUUAUGAAGCAUCUGUCUCAUUAACUGUGAAGGGAACAGAGUAUGAAGUGAAAAAUAUCCUUCAUAUUUACACAACCAUUGAUCUGUCCUGCAACAAGUUUCAAGGAGAAAUUCCUGACGUUAUUGGAGAGCUUAGAUGGCUUGCAUUGCUGAACUUAUCUCAUAAUAGUCUAACAGGACAUAUCCCAUCAUUGCUGAGAAAUAUGAAAGGACUCCAAUCUUUAGAUUUGUCUUCAAAUCAACUGAAAGGGGCUAUUCCACUUCAGUUAACUGCAUUGACAUUUCUAGAGGUCUUGAACCUCUCGGGAAACCAUCUUAGUGGAGAGAUUCCUCAGAAAGGGCAGUUCAGCACAUUUAACAUUGAUUCUUAUCUAGGAAACUCCGCGUUAUGUGGUUCACCUUUGAUGAAGAAAUGUGCAAACACAGCAUCACCUCCACAAGAAGCCGGAAAUGGUGAUGAAGAUGAAGCUGGUGAUGAAUUGACAUGGGAAGCAAUCGUGAUGGGAUAUGGAUGUGGACUGAUAUGUGGAUUGUCAUCUGCAUACAUUGUUCUCAAACUAGGAAAGCCUUGGUGGUUUGUGAGAUAUAUCGAAGUACUGCAACAGAAGUUGAUGAAAAGAUAUGCAUGAAGAAAGGUACUGGUAGAUCAAGAUGAACUUGAAAGUUGUUGUCGUGGUAGACAUUUGUGAACCAGUAGUGUACUAGCUGCAUAAGUAUUUGGUAUUAUGUAAUAAUCCGUUUGGUCGGGACUCAAAAUGAUUUCUCUUGCUUCAGGGGUAUUAAUAUUAACCUUGCUAUCUUGAUCAAUGUUAGGGCAAAUUAAAAAGAAUAUAAAAGCAAAAAAUUUGCAUCAAACACCUGUUGUACCAACAUGCAUCCAUUAAUUUGCUUUCAUCUAUUAAGUAACAAUUUAAGAGCGCUUCCACUCUGUUUAAGCAUGGAGAUAACACAAAGAAGGCAAGUCCAUGGACUAAUAUAUUAACACGUAGUCCACAUCUAUGGUAUGAACAAUUCAUAUUGCUCUUCUAUCUGUUCAACAGUCUCCCGAAGAUAGGCCAAAAAUGUCAUCUGUGGUUCUUAUGUUUGUCAGUGAAGGAGAAUCUCUGAUGCCUACACAACCUGGUGUUUUUACAGAAAGGAAUGUAGGUGAAACCAGGGGCGUAAAAUGAAUCAGGACUAAAAUCUGCUAAAAUGAUAAUUAUUUACUCAUCAUUCAAGAUUAGUCGGGCUCAAAGAUUUAUAUGGAUUUUAAGAACAAACUAUGACUAAAUAUGAAAAAAUCAUUAAUUUUUCCGACUCAAUAUUUUUUAGCCUCCCCCGGCCCUGGGUGAAACCAUAAGCUUCUCUGGUGCACAUCCAAAUCAUUCAGUUGGUUCUACUUUCAGCUCACCCACAGGAACAUCAUUCUGCAGGUACUCUUUUAUCUGUACUUUCUUAUAUUGUAUGCCAGUAAAUUUUAUAUCGACAAACUGCACAAUACACCUCGAUCUCAUAUUAUUGACAGGUGAGCUCCUCUCAUAAUGCUCACAGGCGAACCCCUGCAUAUAUACUUUGUGAUGUCAUUGAUGAUCGAUAGACUUGAAAAAAAAUUAUGACAAAGAUUCAUAAAAUAUCUACUUCCAUCCUAAUUCAGUAUUCAAUAUUAUUCAUUCGUAUCAUCAUCCAAUCAAUUCUAAUAGUUCUUCUUUAAAUCAGUACAAAUAUUGUUAAAUACCUGGAUGAUGGUUGUCUUUCCGCGAACCAAUCAUGAAAUUACCUCUGUAUAAAUCCAUCGGAAAUAAGACAGUUAAUAUCCCAAUCGAAUACACCCCGUCAGUUGUCAAACUCCUCGAAACGUAUUAAUCACUUUAGAAAAUUUGUUCCACUGGCGCUAGUCAGUCCCAGAGUUGGUGGUGGGUGCUUCUGGGCUUUCGAAAAGCACCCAUUUACUCCAUUGUUUAGAGAAGUAAAACCCCACCUUCCGCUCAUUUGAUUGAUCAGCUGAAUUAGGCAGAGUUUACAUGGUCAUGAUCAUAGUCUCCCAUAUAUCCCUGAUACGCACAUUAUAGUGGAUUUAUCUUUAUCAGUGAUUUCUGUGGAGAUGCAUAAUCAUUAUAAGCUCCAAUAUAAAAUUUUAAAGUUAGUAUGGGAAUUUGUGUUGAUAAUUUGCGCAAUGUUAACAGGAUUGCUCCCAAGUCUUGGACGGACUCUUUCAAAGUCUUCUCAGGACCCAUCUGCACACUAAUUUGUCUGCCAACUAAAAAAUCAACAAUAUGUUACUCCCUCCGUUUUUCUUAAACUGAGGUUAAAAUUUUUGACACAAGAUGGGUUGACAGUAUAAAAUUAAAAUAUUUGUGAAUAAAAAUUUUGGUUAUAUUUUUUAUUUAAAAAGAAAAUCUUGAAAAUAAUAUUAUUAACUACCAGUCAGAUCACUUAAGUGUAUGUCCAAAAUUAAAGCGGCAUAUAAAAAAAAGGGAGGAAGCAUGUACUAACUGUUUCCAUAACAGUUUACAAGUAUAAGCUAUACCCCCUCUCUAUUUUUUUCUAUGACAGCUUUGAUUUUGGGCACACAUUCUUAAGUGUUUUGACCGGAUAGUUAAAAAUUUAUCUUCUAAAAUUUUUAAAAAAAGUAAAAUCGCAAAAAAAAUUAGAAAGCUGGUAUUUUUGAUAAAUUUCCAAAUAUGUAAUCAAGAAAAAUAACUUUUACUAUCCAAUCAACUCAUUUAAAGAUGUGUGUCAAAAAUCAAAAUAUCAUACAAAAAAUAGGUAUACAUUUUUUUAAUAGAUUAUACUCCCUCUGUUCCAAAAUAAGUGUCAGCUGGGGGUAAUAACAAGACCUUAGUCAACCCAAGCACAGCAGACAGCAGGCAUAAGGCAUCAGGAAUUUCACAGGACCAUUAUCUUUCUCUUAUUAACUGUGAAGGGAACAGCGUAUGAAGUAGCAAGAACCUUCAUAUUUACACAGCCAUUGAUCUGUCGUGCAACAAAUUUCAGGGAGAAAUUCCAAAGGUUACCGGAGAGCUUAGAUGGCUUGCAUUGCUCAAUUUAUCGCAUAAUUAAUAGUCUGACAGGACCUAUCCCAACAUUGCUGAGAAAUAUGAAAUAACUCCAUUACUCCAAUCUUAGAUUUGUCCUCAAAUCAACUGACAGGGGCUAUUCCACCUCUGUUAACUGCAUUGACAUUACUUUUCUCUUUAUAUUCUUUCCUUUUGUAUGUACCUAUGCUAAUUAUCUGAUUAUUAAAAUUAUAACAAAGCUUCAAGAUUUUUAACAGGUGAGCUUCCACUAAAAAUUUGCAAAGUCACUUCCCUUUCGCGUCUCAUUAUGUUAGAUAAUGGGUCAAGUGGUGCACUUCCACAGUGUUUGGGGAACCUUUCUUUGCUUGGUUUCAAUAAUCUUGCUAAUUAUCAAUUUCAAGGACCAAUACCAACGACUGUCCAAGACUUGUCUGUGCAUAUCUAAACAUCCAUAACAAUCACUUUGAAGGUUUGUUGCUCCAAUCUUUGGCAAACUGUAAACACUUACAAAUUCUUGAUAUUGGAAACAACGUUGGAGAGCUAGAUGUCCCAGUUAGGGCGGUAAUUCGACUAGAGCAAACCGAGUUUUGAGCGGAGCCAAAUUCGAGCCAAGUUUAAUCGAGUCGAGCCGAGUCGGCUCGUUUAGCUAAUCGAGCCUAAAACUUAGCCCGAACUCGACUCAUUUAAUUUCACGAGUCGAGUCGAGCCAACUCGUUUAGCUAAAUGAGCUGAUUUUAACAAGUCGAGCGAGCGAGCUCGUAUAAUUUUAACUUAGUCGAGCCUGAAUCUCUACCCAAACUAUUGGCUCGUGUAAUUUCGCGAGUCGAAUCGAGCCGGCUCGUUUUAUUAAACAAGCCGAAAUUUUUGCCCGAAUUUGCUCGUUUAACAAGCCGAUCUGAGCCUAGUUAAAUGAGUUCGAGUUAGUCGAGCUCGCGAGCUGCGAGCUCACCUGCCAGCUCUAGUCCUAGUCUUGCAAUCAAAUAGGUUUAACGGUAUAGAAAGUGGAAGGAGCACAAGGCAUCCAUUCCCCAAGGCUAUUUACCAAUUCAGUACUUUGAGGAUACAAAAUCAUUCUGCAGGUACUCUUGUAUCUGUACUUUCUUGUACUGUAUGCCACUUUGACAGUAGAGUAAAAUUUAUAUCGACAAACUGCAUAUGUUCUGAACUACUCCUCUAUCCCAAAUUAGAUGAGCUAGUUGACUUUGAGCACGUAACUUAAGGUACAUUGACCAACUAGUUCCGAUAUUUAUUUUUUUAAUUUUUCUUUUGUAAAUGAAAAUUUCAUAUUUAAAUUUUUAUUUGCAAAACUAAAAUUUAAAAAUAUGUAAUGUGGCUAUGCGGUCAAUGUCAACGAGCUCAUCUAAUUUGGGAUUGGGAUGCAGGGAGUAUUACGUACUAUGUUAUGCAAGCUGUUUACAACUUUCAUCAAAAUUUUCAAACAUUUCUGAAUAUGUAUUUUCAAAGAAUUCUCGGGCACUCUUAAGGCCUAUAAUUAUUGGAACUCUCACGUUAUGGACCAGAGGACCACUAUGUAUUUUACAAGCACGACGAAUCAUGUGGUCAUUAUGGACUCCCCAAGCCUUAGAGGACUCAUUCCAGGUUUUAGGAGGACCACUGCCUAGCUCACCCUUUCGGAGUGAUGUAAAUUAGUUUCCAGACACUAAAAAUAAGUAAUCAGAUUAAUCAUUACAAAAUUUUGAUAUAAAAUCAGAAUAAAUCCUAAACUUUGAUGAUACAAAAAAAAUUAUAAUUGUAAAUUAUACAAUCAAAUUAAGAUCGAAUUAACUUCCCUCACACUUAAAAUUUAUAGCGAUCAAAUCAAAAUCGAAUUAACUUUCCUAUUACUAAAAUUUAAUUACAAUAUUAUUAGAUAAAGAGAAUAUAUAAUAAUCAAGAGAAAAUAGAUUUUUUUUUGCCACUCAACUUAUUGUGUUUUAAGAAACUUACCACCCAACUAAAUUUUUUUCCUUUUGCUCACUAAUGUUAGGUUUGGAUUUGUUUUUAGCCACCAAAUAAGGUUCGGAUUUGAUUACCAGCAUUAUGAUAAUUUUUUUUGUCACUAAACUUAUUGCGUCUUUAGAAACUAACCACUGAACUAAAUUUUUUUUAUUUUACUCACUAAUGUUAGAUUUAGUUUUUUUUGUCACUAUAGUUAGGUUCAGAUUUGAUUAUUAGCAUUACAUUAAUUCUGUGUAGCAUUUUUAAAAUAUGGUAGUAGUCUGUGAUAUUUAGAUGAUUUGAUAUAUGUCUGUAUUUUUAUAUAUAGUAUAUUUUAUGUCCCCAAGGUCGUUUACCUUGGGUCAUAAAAAUUUUACACUCAUUUUAUGACUUUUAAAAGAUGUAGUUUCAUAAAUAAUUUUAUUUUUUUCUUUCGAAUUAAAAUUCAGCAUUUGAAUUUUACACACAAAAAAAUCGCAAGAAUAAGAUAUGAAACUAUGCUUUACAAGAGUCUUAAAAUACGUGCUAAACGGUAGAAAAAACUGUAAACUAAUGAGAGGUACAUAGGGAGUAAUAAUAACAUAAAAUGAUGCACAAUCAUCGAAUUAAGUUUUCCUCUCUCUAUAUAUUUAUUUUGUAAAUUUUAAUAAGAUAAAGUUAUUAAAAUUUAUGAUAUAAAUUUAAGAGAUAUCUUAGAUUGAGUGGCAAAAAUUUAGUUGGGUGGUAAGUUUCUAAAAACACAAUAAAUUGAGUGGGAACAAAAUCUAUUUUCCCAAUAAUGAGUGGGAAUAAAAUCUAUUUUCCCAAUAAUCAAAGUGACGAAAAAUCAAAGUCAUCUAAUAAGUCCAGAAAAAAUAUGACCAUUAGUAUAUUGAAAUAAUAUUCACGCAUUUAUAUACGAGAAUAUAUGGUCCACAAGUUAGUGCACAAUGUCCAAGAAUCUUUAUCAAAUAACACGGCAAGCAUGCAGCAUAUAAAUAAGAGUGGGCAGUAUGGUAUUGCAUUCAUAACCCACUUGAGCAGAAAUAUGGCACACUUCCUAAAGCCUUCUCACCUUCUUCUCUUUGUUUUCUUUCUCUCGUUACUUCAAUCCAUUCUACCAACAAGACCAGAGGGAGAAGCUCUUGUGAAAUGGAAGAAUAGCCUAGCCCCGUCUUCUUUUCUCGAUUCUUGGUCACUAACCAAUCUCGAUAAUCUUUGUAACUGGACUGGCAUUACUUGUAACUCUGCAGGUUCAGUCUCUGGGAUUAACCUUUAUGAGAAACAACUUGAUGGAAUGCUGUCCGAGUUUGGCUUCACUUCAUUUCCGAAUCUCAACAAUCUCACCCUCGCAUACAACUUCUUCUCGGGUCCAAUACCACCAGCCAUUGAGAAUUUAACACAGCUUCAAUAUCUUGAUUUAAGCAUCAAUAGUCUCGAUGGUCCCAUUCCUUUCCAGGUUAGCCAUCUUCAGAGGUUGCUCGUCCUAAACCUGUCACAGAAUGCAUUGCAAGCUCCAAAUUGGUCCCAUUUCUCUUCCAUGCCUUUUUUGCGCAUCCUCAAGCUCAGUAGGAAUCAUCUUGUAUCNUUUUUAUUUAAAAAGAAAAUCUUGAAAAUAAUAUUAUUAACUACCAGUCAGAUCACUUAAGUGUAUGUCCAAAAUUAAAGCGGCAUAUAAAAAAAAGGGAGGAAGCAUGUACUAACUGUUUCCAUAACAGUUUACAAGUAUAAGCUAUACCCCCUCUCUAUUUUUUUCUAUGACAGCUUUGAUUUUGGGCACACAUUCUUAAGUGUUUUGACCGGAUAGUUAAAAAUUUAUCUUCUAAAAUUUUUAAAAAAAGUAAAAUCGCAAAAAAAAUUAGAAAGCUGGUAUUUUUGAUAAAUUUCCAAAUAUGUAAUCAAGAAAAAUAACUUUUACUAUCCAAUCAACUCAUUUAAAGAUGUGUGUCAAAAAUCAAAAUAUCAUACAAAAAAUAGGUAUACAUUUUUUUAAUAGAUUAUACUCCCUCUGUUCCAAAAUAAGUGUCAGCUGGGGGUAAUAACAAGACCUUAGUCAACCCAAGCACAGCAGACAGCAGGCAUAAGGCAUCAGGAAUUUCACAGGACCAUUAUCUUUCUCUUAUUAACUGUGAAGGGAACAGCGUAUGAAGUAGCAAGAACCUUCAUAUUUACACAGCCAUUGAUCUGUCGUGCAACAAAUUUCAGGGAGAAAUUCCAAAGGUUACCGGAGAGCUUAGAUGGCUUGCAUUGCUCAAUUUAUCGCAUAAUUAAUAGUCUGACAGGACCUAUCCCAACAUUGCUGAGAAAUAUGAAAUAACUCCAUUACUCCAAUCUUAGAUUUGUCCUCAAAUCAACUGACAGGGGCUAUUCCACCUCUGUUAACUGCAUUGACAUUACUUUUCUCUUUAUAUUCUUUCCUUUUGUAUGUACCUAUGCUAAUUAUCUGAUUAUUAAAAUUAUAACAAAGCUUCAAGAUUUUUAACAGGUGAGCUUCCACUAAAAAUUUGCAAAGUCACUUCCCUUUCGCGUCUCAUUAUGUUAGAUAAUGGGUCAAGUGGUGCACUUCCACAGUGUUUGGGGAACCUUUCUUUGCUUGGUUUCAAUAAUCUUGCUAAUUAUCAAUUUCAAGGACCAAUACCAACGACUGUCCAAGACUUGUCUGUGCAUAUCUAAACAUCCAUAACAAUCACUUUGAAGGUUUGUUGCUCCAAUCUUUGGCAAACUGUAAACACUUACAAAUUCUUGAUAUUGGAAACAACGUUGGAGAGCUAGAUGUCCCAGUUAGGGCGGUAAUUCGACUAGAGCAAACCGAGUUUUGAGCGGAGCCAAAUUCGAGCCAAGUUUAAUCGAGUCGAGCCGAGUCGGCUCGUUUAGCUAAUCGAGCCUAAAACUUAGCCCGAACUCGACUCAUUUAAUUUCACGAGUCGAGUCGAGCCAACUCGUUUAGCUAAAUGAGCUGAUUUUAACAAGUCGAGCGAGCGAGCUCGUAUAAUUUUAACUUAGUCGAGCCUGAAUCUCUACCCAAACUAUUGGCUCGUGUAAUUUCGCGAGUCGAAUCGAGCCGGCUCGUUUUAUUAAACAAGCCGAAAUUUUUGCCCGAAUUUGCUCGUUUAACAAGCCGAUCUGAGCCUAGUUAAAUGAGUUCGAGUUAGUCGAGCUCGCGAGCUGCGAGCUCACCUGCCAGCUCUAGUCCUAGUCUUGCAAUCAAAUAGGUUUAACGGUAUAGAAAGUGGAAGGAGCACAAGGCAUCCAUUCCCCAAGGCUAUUUACCAAUUCAGUACUUUGAGGAUACAAAAUCAUUCUGCAGGUACUCUUGUAUCUGUACUUUCUUGUACUGUAUGCCACUUUGACAGUAGAGUAAAAUUUAUAUCGACAAACUGCAUAUGUUCUGAACUACUCCUCUAUCCCAAAUUAGAUGAGCUAGUUGACUUUGAGCACGUAACUUAAGGUACAUUGACCAACUAGUUCCGAUAUUUAUUUUUUUAAUUUUUCUUUUGUAAAUGAAAAUUUCAUAUUUAAAUUUUUAUUUGCAAAACUAAAAUUUAAAAAUAUGUAAUGUGGCUAUGCGGUCAAUGUCAACGAGCUCAUCUAAUUUGGGAUUGGGAUGCAGGGAGUAUUACGUACUAUGUUAUGCAAGCUGUUUACAACUUUCAUCAAAAUUUUCAAACAUUUCUGAAUAUGUAUUUUCAAAGAAUUCUCGGGCACUCUUAAGGCCUAUAAUUAUUGGAACUCUCACGUUAUGGACCAGAGGACCACUAUGUAUUUUACAAGCACGACGAAUCAUGUGGUCAUUAUGGACUCCCCAAGCCUUAGAGGACUCAUUCCAGGUUUUAGGAGGACCACUGCCUAGCUCACCCUUUCGGAGUGAUGUAAAUUAGUUUCCAGACACUAAAAAUAAGUAAUCAGAUUAAUCAUUACAAAAUUUUGAUAUAAAAUCAGAAUAAAUCCUAAACUUUGAUGAUACAAAAAAAAUUAUAAUUGUAAAUUAUACAAUCAAAUUAAGAUCGAAUUAACUUCCCUCACACUUAAAAUUUAUAGCGAUCAAAUCAAAAUCGAAUUAACUUUCCUAUUACUAAAAUUUAAUUACAAUAUUAUUAGAUAAAGAGAAUAUAUAAUAAUCAAGAGAAAAUAGAUUUUUUUUUGCCACUCAACUUAUUGUGUUUUAAGAAACUUACCACCCAACUAAAUUUUUUUCCUUUUGCUCACUAAUGUUAGGUUUGGAUUUGUUUUUAGCCACCAAAUAAGGUUCGGAUUUGAUUACCAGCAUUAUGAUAAUUUUUUUUGUCACUAAACUUAUUGCGUCUUUAGAAACUAACCACUGAACUAAAUUUUUUUUAUUUUACUCACUAAUGUUAGAUUUAGUUUUUUUUGUCACUAUAGUUAGGUUCAGAUUUGAUUAUUAGCAUUACAUUAAUUCUGUGUAGCAUUUUUAAAAUAUGGUAGUAGUCUGUGAUAUUUAGAUGAUUUGAUAUAUGUCUGUAUUUUUAUAUAUAGUAUAUUUUAUGUCCCCAAGGUCGUUUACCUUGGGUCAUAAAAAUUUUACACUCAUUUUAUGACUUUUAAAAGAUGUAGUUUCAUAAAUAAUUUUAUUUUUUUCUUUCGAAUUAAAAUUCAGCAUUUGAAUUUUACACACAAAAAAAUCGCAAGAAUAAGAUAUGAAACUAUGCUUUACAAGAGUCUUAAAAUACGUGCUAAACGGUAGAAAAAACUGUAAACUAAUGAGAGGUACAUAGGGAGUAAUAAUAACAUAAAAUGAUGCACAAUCAUCGAAUUAAGUUUUCCUCUCUCUAUAUAUUUAUUUUGUAAAUUUUAAUAAGAUAAAGUUAUUAAAAUUUAUGAUAUAAAUUUAAGAGAUAUCUUAGAUUGAGUGGCAAAAAUUUAGUUGGGUGGUAAGUUUCUAAAAACACAAUAAAUUGAGUGGGAACAAAAUCUAUUUUCCCAAUAAUGAGUGGGAAUAAAAUCUAUUUUCCCAAUAAUCAAAGUGACGAAAAAUCAAAGUCAUCUAAUAAGUCCAGAAAAAAUAUGACCAUUAGUAUAUUGAAAUAAUAUUCACGCAUUUAUAUACGAGAAUAUAUGGUCCACAAGUUAGUGCACAAUGUCCAAGAAUCUUUAUCAAAUAACACGGCAAGCAUGCAGCAUAUAAAUAAGAGUGGGCAGUAUGGUAUUGCAUUCAUAACCCACUUGAGCAGAAAUAUGGCACACUUCCUAAAGCCUUCUCACCUUCUUCUCUUUGUUUUCUUUCUCUCGUUACUUCAAUCCAUUCUACCAACAAGACCAGAGGGAGAAGCUCUUGUGAAAUGGAAGAAUAGCCUAGCCCCGUCUUCUUUUCUCGAUUCUUGGUCACUAACCAAUCUCGAUAAUCUUUGUAACUGGACUGGCAUUACUUGUAACUCUGCAGGUUCAGUCUCUGGGAUUAACCUUUAUGAGAAACAACUUGAUGGAAUGCUGUCCGAGUUUGGCUUCACUUCAUUUCCGAAUCUCAACAAUCUCACCCUCGCAUACAACUUCUUCUCGGGUCCAAUACCACCAGCCAUUGAGAAUUUAACACAGCUUCAAUAUCUUGAUUUAAGCAUCAAUAGUCUCGAUGGUCCCAUUCCUUUCCAGGUUAGCCAUCUUCAGAGGUUGCUCGUCCUAAACCUGUCACAGAAUGCAUUGCAAGCUCCAAAUUGGUCCCAUUUCUCUUCCAUGCCUUUUUUGCGCAUCCUCAAGCUCAGUAGGAAUCAUCUUGUAUCGAAAUUUCCAGAAUUUAUAUCCAAUUCUCAUAGCUUGGCUAUCCUUGACCUUGGCCAGAACAACUUUACAGGUGAUCUUGUGCGUGAAUUUACCAAUCUACAAAAUCUUGAAACCCUCUGGCUUUAUCGUAAUUCUUUUGAGGGGCCAUUUCCGCCGGAUAUAGUCCAGCUUUCCAAACUAAAAGAUCUUGCCCUGUCAAGUAACAAAUUUUCAGGUUCAGUUCCCAAUAACAUAAGGUUGCUUUGUGAUCUUGAAUACCUAUAUUUAGGCAACAAUUCCUUUAAGGGGCCACUUCCACCAAAUAUAUUUAAGCUUUCAAAAUUAAAACAUCUUGUUCUUUGGAGUAAUAAGUUUUCAGGUUCUGUUUCCAAUGAUAUAGGUUUGCUUCAUGAGCUUGUAACCCUCAAUCUUAACUCUAAUUUUUUUGAGGGGCCGCUUCCGCCAAAUGUAUUCAAGCUCUCCAAACUAAAGUUUUUUGCCCUUCAUGAGAAUAACUUUUCAGGUUUUAUUUCUAAGGAUAUAGGUUUGCUUUCCGAACUUGAAAUCCUCUAUUUUGGCUCUAAUUUUUUUGAGGGGCCGCUUCCUCCACAUGUAUUUAGGCUCUCCAAAUUAAGAGGUCUGGACCUCUCACACAAUAGAAAUUUAUUUGAAGGAAGUAUUCCUAUUGGACUGGGACUCUUGACUAACCUCAGGUACUUAGAUCUACAUUCCAAUAAUCUCGGUGGCUAUAUUCCAUCUGACAUUGGAAACCUGAAGCUACUAGUACUUCUUGAUCUCGGUUCUAAUCAAUUGACUGGACCGCUUUCAAAGAUCGUUUCUAAUCUCACAAAUCUUAUAUGUCUUGAUGUAAGUCAUAAUAGUCUUAGUGGAAAUAUUCAGAGUGACUUGUGGAAAUAUAACGAUCAUCCAACUUUGGAAUACAUCAAUUUAAGUGGGAACCAUUUUACGGGUAUAGUUUUUCUCUAUAGAUCUUUUCCUUUUCUCAUAUGUAACUAAGCUAGUAAUCUGAUUAUUGCAGUUUCACCAAAGUUUCAACAAUCUUGACAGGUGAGCUUCCAACAACAAUUUGCAAUGUCACUUCCCUUUCGGUUCUUGAUUUGUCAAAUAAUGAAUUAAGUGGUGCACUUCCAAACUCUUUGGGGAAUCUUGCUGAUGGAAUGCUUUACCUUAAUCUUGCUAAUAAUCAGUUUCGAGGAACAAUACCAACUACUUUCUCCAGGAGUUGUCGGUUGACAUAUCUAAACAUGGAUAAUAAUGAGUUUGAAGGAUUGUUGCCCCCAUCUUUGGCGAACUGUAAGCACUUGAAAAUUCUUGAUAUAGGCAAUAAUAAAAUAGGUGGUACAUUUCCGUCAUGGCUUUAUGCACUUGGAGAGCUAGAAGUUCUUGUCUUGCGAUCAAAUAAACUCUAUGGUACGAUAAGUGGAAGGAGCAUAGAAGAUCCCUUCCCCAAGUUGCGGAUUGUGGAUCUGUCCCACAAUCAAUUGACAGGCUAUUUGCCAAUUCAAUACUUUAAGAAUAUGAAAUCAACUGAUAAUUUGUAUCGUUAUCGGAAUUCCACAGGACCAUUAUCUUUCUCUUAUGAAGCAGCAGUCUCAUUAACUGUGAAGGGAACAGAGUACGAGGUAGCAAAGAACCUUCAUAUUUACACAGCCAUUGACCUGUCGUGCAACAAAUUUCAGGGAGAAAUUCCAAAGGUUACUGGAGAGCUUAGAUGGCUUGCAUUGCUGAAUUUAUCUCAUAAUAGUCUGACAGGACCUAUCCCAUCCUUGCUGAAAAAUAUGAAAGAACUCCAAUCUUUAGAUUUGUCCUCAAAUCAACUGACAGGGGCUAUUCCACCUCAGUUAACUGCAUUGACAUUUCUGGAGGUCUUCAACCUCUCGGGAAACCAUCUUAGUGGAGAGAUUCCUCAGAAAGGGCAGUUCAGCACAUUUAACAAUGAUUCUUAUCUAGGAAACUCCGCGUUAUGUGGAUCACCUUUGACAAAGAAAUGUGCAAACACAGCAUCACCUCCACAAGAAGUCGGAAAUGGUGAUGAAGAUGAUGCUGGUGAUGAAUGGACAUGGGAAGCAAUCGUGAUGGGAUAUGGAUGUGGACUGAUAUGUGGAUUGUCAUCUGCGUACAUUGUUCUCAAACUAGGAAAGCCUUGGUGGUUUGUGAGAUAUAUCGAAGUGCUGCAACUGAAGUUGAUGAAAAGAUAUGCUUGAAAAAUUGUACUGGCCGAUCAAGACGAACUUGAAAGUUGUUGUCCUUGUGGACAUUUCUGAACCAGUAGUGUACUAGCUGCAUAAGUAUUUGGUAUUAUGUAAUAAUCCGUUUGGUCAGGACUCAUAAUGAUUUCUCUUGCUUCAGGGGUAUUAAUAUUAACCUUGCUAGUUAAUUCAAAUUAAAACAAAUAUAAAAUCAAAAAAUUUGCAUCAAACACCUGUUAUACCAACAUCCAUUAAUUUGCUUUCAUCUCUUACGUAACAAUUUAACAGCGAUUCCACACUGUUUUAGGCAUGGAGAUUACACAAAGAAGGCAAGUCCAUGAACUAAUAUAUUAACCCGUAGUCCACAUCUAUGCUACGAACAAUUCAUAUUGGUCUUCCAUCUAUUCAACCGUCUCCCGAAGAUAGGCCAAAAAUGUCAUCUGUGGUUCUUAUCUUUGUCAGUAAAGGAGAAUCUCUGAUGCCUAUACAACCUGGUUUUCUUACAGAAAGGAAUGUAGGUGAAACCAGGGGCAUAAAAUGAAUCGGGACUAAAAUCUGCUAAAAUGAUAAUUAUUUACUCAUCAUUCGAGAUUAGUCGGGCUCAAAUGAAGAUUUAUAUGGAUUUUAAGAACAAACUAUGACUAAAUAUGAAAACUAGACAACCUGGUUUUCUUACAGAAAGGAAUGUAGGUGAAACCAGGGGCGUAAAAUGAAUCGGGACUAAAAUCUGCUAAAAUGAUAGUAAUUAUUUACUCAUCAUUCAAGAUUAGUCGGGCUCAAAUGAAGAUUUAUAUGGAUUUUUAAGAACAAACUAUGACUAAAUAUGAAAAAAAUCAUUAAUUUUUCCGACUCAAUAUUUUUUAGCCUCCCCCGGCCCUGGGUGAAACCAUAAGCUUCUCUGGUGCACAUCCAAAUCAUUCAGCUGGUUCUGCAGGUACUCUUCUAUCUGUACUUUCUUAUAUUGUUUGCCAGUACAUUUUAUAUCGACAAACUGCACAAUACACCUCGAUCUCAUACACAGGUGAACUCCUGCAUAUGCUUUGUGAUGUCAUUGAUGAUCGAUAGACUUGAAAAAAAAUUAUGACAAAGAUUCAUAAAAUAUCUACUUCCAUCCUAAUUCAGUAUUCAAUAUUAUUCAUCCCGUAUCAUCAUCCAAUCAAUUCUAAUAGUUCUUCUUUAAAUCAGUACAAAUAUUGUUAAAUACCUCGAUGAUGGUUGUCUUCCCGUGAACCAAUCAUAAAAUUACCUCUGUAUAAAUCCAUCGGAAAUAAGACAGUUAAUAUCCCAAUCGAAUACACCCCGUCAGUUGUCAAACUCCUCGAAACGUAUUAAUCACUUUAGAAAAUUUGUUCCACUGGCGCUAGUCAGUCCCAGAGUUGGUGGUGGGUGCUUCUGGGCUUUCGAAAAACACCCAUUUACUCCAUUGUUUAGAGAAGUAAAACCCCACCUUCCGCUCAUUUGAUUGAUCAGCUGAAUUAGGCAGAGUUUACAUGGUCAUGAUCAUAGUCUCCCAUUUCCCAGAUACGCGAAUUAUAGUGGAUUUAUCUUUAUCAGUAAUUUCUGUGGAGAUGCAUAAUCAUUAUAAGCUCCAAUAUAAAAAUUUAAAGUUAGUAUGGGCAUUUGUGUUGAUAAUUUGCGCAAUGUUAACAGGAUUGCUCCCAAGUCUUGGACGGACUCUUUCAAAGUCUUCUCAGGACCCAUCUGCACACUGAUUUGUCUGCCAACUAAAAAAUCAACAAUAUGUUACUCACUCCGUUUUUCUUAAACGAGGUUAAAAUUUUUGACACAAGAUGGGUUGACAGUAUAAUAAAAUUAACAUUUUUGUGAAUAAAAAUUUUGGUUGUAUUAUUUUAUUUAGAAAAAGAAAAUCUUGAAAAUAAUAUUAUUAACUACCCAGUCAAAUCACUUAAAAGUAUAUGUCCAAAAUUAAAGCGGCAUAUAAAAAAACCGAGAGAGAGUAUGUACUAACCUGUUUCCAUAACAGUUUACAAGUAUAAGUUAUACUCCCUCUCUAUUUUUUUAUAUGACGCUUUGAUUUUGGGCACAUAUUUUUAAGUGUUUUGACCGGAUAAUUAAAAAUAUUAUUUUCUAAAAUUUUUAAAAGAAAGUAAAAUUGAAAAAAAAAUAGAAAGCUGGUAUUUUUGAUAAAUUUCCAAACAUAAUCAAGAACAAUAAUUUUUACUAUCCAAUCAACUCAUUUACAGAUGUGUGUCAAAAAUCAAAAUAUCAUAUAAAAAACAACAAUAUGUUACUCCCUCCGUUUUUCUUAAACUGAGGUUAAAAUUUUUGACACAAGAUGGGUUGACAGUAUAAAAUUAAAAUUUUUGUGAAUAAAAAUUUUGGUUAUAUUUUUUAUUUAAAAAGAAAAUCUUGAAAAUAAUAUUAUUAACUACCAGUCAGAUCACUUAAGUGUAUGUCCAAAAUUAAAGCGGCAUAUAAAAAAAAGGGAGGAAGCAUGUACUAACUGUUUCCAUAACAGUUUACAAGUACAAGUUAUACUCCCUCUCUAUUUUUUCUAUGACGCUUUGAUUUUGGGCACACAUUCUUAAGUGUUUUGACCGGAUAGUUAAAAAUUUAUCUUCUAAAAUUUUUAAAAAGAAGUAAAAUCGCAAAAAAAAUUAGAAAGCUGGUAUUUUUGAUAAAUUUCCAAAUAUGUAAUCAAGAACAAUAACUUUUACUAUCCAAUCAACUCAUUUAAAGAUGUGUGUCAAAAAUCAAAAUAUCAUACAAAAAAUAGGUAUACAUUUUUUUUAAUAGAUUAUACUCCCUCUGUUCCAAAAUAAUUGUCAGCUGUGACAUUUUGCAAAAGUAGCUGGGGGGUAAUAACAAGACCUUAGUCAACCCAAGCACAGCAGACAGCAGGCAUAAGGCAUCAGGAAUUUCACAGCACCAUUAUCUUUCUCUUAUUAACUGUGAAGGGAACAGAGUAUGAAGUAGCAAGAACCUUCAUAUUUACACAGCCAUUGAUCUGUCGUGCAACGAAUUUCAGGGAGAAAUUUCAAAGGUUACUGGAGAGCUUAGAUGGCUUGCAUUGCUCAAUUUAUCUCAUAAUAGUCUCACAGGACCUAUCCCAUCAUUGCUGAGAAAAAUGAAAGAACUCCAAUCUUUAGAUUUGUCCUCAAAUCAACUGACAGGGGCUAUUCCACCUCAGUUAACUGCAUUGACAUUACUUUUCUCUUUAUAUCCUUUCCUUUUGUAUGUACCUAUGCUAAUUAUCUGAUUAUCAAAAUUAUAACAAAGCUUCAAGAUUUUUAACAGGUGAGCUUCCACUAAAAAUUUGCAAAGUCACUUCCCUUUCGCGUCUCAUUAUGUCAGAUAAUGGGUCAAGUGGUGCACAUCCACAGUGUUUGGGGAACCUUUCUUUGCUUGGUUUCAAUAAUCUUGCUAAUUAUCAAUUUCAAGGACCAAUACCAACGACUGUCCAAGACUUGUCUGUGCAUAUCUAAACAUCCAUAACAAUCACUUUGAAGGUUUGUUGCUGCAAUCUUUGACAAACUGUAAACACUUACAAAUUCUUGAUAUUGGAAACAACAAAAUAGGUGGUACAUUUCGGUCAUGGCUAUUUAUUUUGGAGAGCUAGAUGUCCUAGUUAGGGCGGUAAUUCAACUAGAGCAAACCGAGUUUUGAGCGGAGCCAAAUUCGAGCCAAGUUUAAUCGAGUCAAGCCGAGUCGGCUCGUUUAGCUAAUCGAGCCUAAAACUCUGCCCGAACUCGACUCGUUUAAUUUCACGAACGAGUCAAGCGAGUGAGCUCGUAUAAUUUUAACUUAAUCGAGCCUAAAUCUCUACCCGAACUAUUGGCUCGUGUAAUUUCGCGAGUAGAAUCGAGCCGGCUCGUUUUAUUAUAGAAGCCGAAAUUUUUGCCCGAAUUUGGCUUGUUUAACAAGCCGAUCUUUCAUCAAAAAUUUCAAACAUUUCUGAAUAUGUAUUUUCAGAGAAUUUCUCCAGCACUCUUAAGGCCUAUAAUUAUUGCAACUCUCACGUUAUGGACCACUGUGUAUUUUACAAGCACGACGAAUCAUGUUGUCAUUAUGGACUCCCCAAGCCUUAGAGGACUCAUUCCAGGUCUUAGGAGGACCACUGCCUAGCUCACCCUUUCGGAGUGAUGUAAAUUAUUUUCCAAACAUUAAAAAUAAAUAAUCAGAUUAAUCAAUACAAAAUUAAAGAUAUAAAAUCAGAAUAAAUCCUAAACUUUGAAUAUACAAAAAAAAUUAUAAUUGUAAAUUAUACAAUCAAAUUAAAAUUGAAUUAACUUCCCUCACACUUAAAAUUUAUAGCGAUCAAAUCAAAAUCGAAUUAACUUUCCUAUUACUAAAAUUUAGUUACAAUAUUAUUAGAUAAAGAGAAUAUAUAAUAAUCAAGGGAAAAUAGAUUUUUUUUUUUUGCCACUCAACUUAUUGUUUUUUAAGAAACUUACCACCCAACUAAUUAUUUUUUCCUUUUGCUCACUAAUGUUAGGUUUGGAUUUGUUUUUAGCCACCAACUAAGGUUCGGAUUUGAUUACUAGCAUUAUGAUAAUUUUUUUUGUCACUAAACUUAUUGUGUCUUUAGAAACUAACCACUCAACUAAUUUUUUUUUAAUUUACUCACUAAUGUUAGGUUCAGUUUUUUUUUGUCACUGAAGUUAGGUUCGGAUUUGAUUAUUAGCAUUACAUUAAUUCUGUGUAGCAUUUUUAAAAUAUGGCUCAUAAGAAUUUUACACGCAUUUUAUGACUUUUAAAAGAUGUAGUUUCAUUAAUAAUUUUAUUUUUUUCUUCCGAAUUAAAAUUUAGCGUUUGAAUUUUACACACAAAAAAUCGAAAGAAUAAGUUAUGAAAGUAUGCUUUAUAAGAGUCUUAAAAUACGUGCUAAACGGUAGAAAAAACUGUACACUAAUGACAGGUAAAUAGGGAGUAAUAAUAACAUAAAAUGAUGCACAAUCAUCGAAUUAAGUUUUCCUCUCUCUAUAUAUUUAUUUUGAAAAUUUUAAUAAGAUAAAGUUAUUAAAAUUUAUGAUAUAAAUUUAAGAGAUAUCUUAGAUUGAGUGGCAAAAAUUUAGUUGGGUGAUAAAUUUCUAAAAACACAAUAAAUUGAAUGGGAACAAAAUCUAUUUUCCCGAUAAUCAAAGUGACGAAAAAUCAAAGUCAUCUAAUAAGUCCAGAAAAAAUAUGACCAUUAGUAUAUCGGAAUAAUAUUCACACAUUUAUAUACGAGAAUAUAUGGUCCACAAGUUAGUGCACAAUGUCCAAGAAUCUUUAUUAAAGUAACACGGCAAGCAUGCAGCAUAUAAAUAAGAGUGGGCACUGGGCAGUAUGGUAUUGCAUUCAUAACCCACUUGAGGAGAAAUAUGGCACACUUCCUAAAGCCUUCUCACCUUCUUCUCUUUGUUUUCUUUCUCUCGUUACUUCAAUCCAUUCUACUAACAAGACCAGAGGGAGAAGCUCUUGUGAAAUGGAAGAAUAGCCUUGCCCCUUCUUCUUUUCUCGAUUCUUGGUCACUCACCAAUCUCGAUGAUCUUUGUAACUGGACUGGCAUUACUUGUAACUCUGCAGGUUCAGUCUCUGAGAUUAACCUUUAUGAGAAACAACUUGAUGGAAUGCUGUCCGAGUUUAGUUUCACUUCAUUUCCAAAUCUUAACAGUCUCACUCUCGCAUACAACUUCUUCUCGGGUCCAAUACCACCAGCCAUUGAGAAUUUAACACAGCUUCAAUAUCUUGAUUUAAGCAUCAAUAGUCUCGAUGGUCUCAUUCCGUUCCAGGUUAGCCAUCUUCAGAGGUUGCUCGUCUUAAACCUGUCACAGAAUGCAUUGCAAGCUCCAAAUUGGUCCCAAUUCUCUCCCAUGCCCUUUUUGUGCAGCCUCAACCUCAGUAGCAAUCCUCUUGCGUCGAAAUUCCCAAAUUUCAUAUCCAAUUCUCAUGGCCUGACUCACCUUAGCCUUGAUCAAAACGAGUUUACAGGUGAUUUAGCGCGUGAAUCAAUAUUUGCCAAUCUGCAUAAUCUUGAAGUCCUCAGUCUUGUUGGCAAUUCUUUUGAGGGGCCAUUUCUGCCAAAUAUAUUCAAGCUUUCCAAAUUAAAACGUCUCACCCUGUCAAGUAACAAAUUUUUAGGAUCAAUUCCCAAUGACAUAAGGUUGCUUUGUGAUCUUGAAUUCCUGUAUUUAGGAAACAAUUCUUUUGAAGGACCGCUUCCACCAAAUAUAUUCAAGCUUUCAAAAUUAAAACAUCUUGUUCUUUGGAGUAAUAAGUUUUCAGGUUCUGUUUCCAAUGAUAUAGGUUUGCUUUCUGCGCUUGAACUUUUGAAUCUUCACUCUAAUUUUUUUGAGGGGCCGCUUCCGCCAAAUGUAUUCAAGCUCUCUAAACUAAGGUUUCUUAACCUCUGGGGUAACAACUUUUCAGGUUCUGUUUCCAAUGAUAUAGGUUUGCUUCCGGAGCUAGAAAUCCUCAAUCUUCACUCUAAUUUUUUUGAGGGCCGCUUCCGCCAAAUAUAUUCAAGCUCUCUAAACUAAGGUUUCUUAACCUUUGGGGUAAUAACUUUUCAGGUUCUGUUUCCAAUGAUAUAGGUUUGCUUCCUGAGCUAGAAUUCCUCAAUCUUCACUCUAAUUUUUUUGAGGGUCCGCUUCCGCCAAAUGUAUUCAAGCUCUCUAAACUAAAGUUUCUUCAUCUUCGAGGUAAUAAGUUUUCAGGUUCUGUUUCCAAUGAUAUAGGUUUGCUUCCUGAGCUUGAAAUCCUCAAUCUUCGCUCUAAUUUUUUUGAGGGGCCGCUUCCGCCAAAUGUAUUCAAGCUCUCCAAACUAAGGUUUCUUUCCCUUAAGGAAAAUAAAUUUUCAGGUUCUGUUUCCAAUGAUAUAGGUUUCCUUUCUGAGCUUGAAUACCUAUAUCUUGACUAUAAUUUAUUUGAAGGAAGUAUUCCUAUUGGACUGGGACUCUUGACUAACCUCAGCUACUUAGAUCUAAGUUCCAAUAAUCUCAGUGGCUAUAUUCCAUCUGACAUUGGAAACCUGAAGCUACUAGUAUUUCUUGAUCUCAGUUCUAACCAAUUGACUGGACCGCUUUUAAAGAUCGUUUCUAAUCUCACAAAUCUUAUGAAUCUUGAUGUAAGUGAUAAUAGUCUUAGUGGAAAUAUUCAGAGUGACUUGUGGAAGAACUCUAUAUCCUUACGUUACAUUAAUUUUGCAAAUAAUUAUUUGUCUGGGAACAUUCCUAAGGAAUACAACGAUCAUCCAACUUUGGAAUACAUCAAUUUAAGUGGGAACCAUUUUACAGGUAUAUUUUUCUCUAUAUAUCUUUUCCUUUUCUCAUAUGUAACUAAGCUGGUAAUCUGAUUAUUGCAGUUUUACCAAAGUUUCAACAAUCUUGACAGGUGAGCUUCCAACAACAAUUUGCAAUGUCACUUCCCUUGCGGUUCUUGUUUUGUCAAAUAAUGGAUUAAGUGGAGCACUUCCAAAUUGUUUCGGGAAACUUGCUGAUAGAUUGCUUUCCAUUAAUCUUGCUAAUAAUCAGUUUCGAGGAACAAUACCAACUACUUUCUCCAGGAGUUGUCAGGUGAAAUAUCUAAACAUGGAUAAUAAUGAGUUUGAAGGAUUCUUGCCCCCAUCUUUGGCGAACUGUAAGCACUUGAAAAUUCUUGAUAUUGGCAAUAACAAAAUAGGUGGUCCAUUUCCGUCAUGGCUUUAUGUACUUGGAGAGAUAGAAGUCCUUGUCUUGCGAUUAAAUAAACUCUAUGGUACAAUAAGUGGAAGGAGCGUAAAAGAUCCCUUCCCCAAGUUGCGGAUUGUGGAUCAAUAGACAUCGGCUAAAAAGCGAUGUCUAUGUAAAAUCAGACCGAUGUCUUCGUGGGUGAUGAGAAAAGUAAGUGCAUUACACAUCGCUUUCUAGCCGAUGUCUAUAACCUAUUUACACAUCGUUUAAUAUGACAAUCUGAUGUAUUUUUUAACAGUAGAUACCUUCACUAUAAUUUCAGUUCCUCAUUCCUAUGCCCUCUAUAUCAUUUUAAACUUGUCACAUGCUUAAUAAAAUGAUACUUUAACAUCUUAAAACUUGUAAAAUAGAUGUAUAUGAUAACCUUUUACAUCAUGCUUUUAUAGGAAGUGAUGUGGUACCCUUCUUUUCUUUAAGAAAGCGAUGUCUUUGUUCUUGUUUUACAUCAGUGAUUUUUAUACUCUGAUAUCUAUUAUAUAGUUUAACAUCAGGCUUUUUCUUGUUAACUGAUAUGUAUUCAUUCUUAUGACAUCGCUUACUAAGUGAUGUAAAUGUUAGUUUUAAAUUGCCAUGAAUCCUCCUGUUUCUUAUGAAUCCCCCUGUUUCAUUUAAAUUUCCAACAAAUUCCAAAACAACACCAAAGCUAUACUAAUUAAACAACCAAUUACCAAUGUCUAGCCUACCAUAACAGAACUAAAACAAAACUAGCUAGCAAAACAAUACUUCCGCAAAAGCCAAAUAUAUUACCAUCAAUCAUUACCAAUCAAAUUACAUCCCACAAUCAAAGAAACUGCACAAAUCCUAAAUAUUAACCAAGCAACCAUAAUUUACAAGCAGUUCACCACGUACUCCAGCAACCAUAAUUUACCAACUACAUUUCCCUCCAUUUAUCAACAAAAUCUACUUAGCUAGCUAGUGUCACUGUCUUACAUAAACUGAACUAAUUAAAGGAAACCAAAGUUCUCCAAUAAACCAAAGGCCUGUUUAUAAGAAGGACUCGAUAUGGCUAAGUGUCUCAAACCGAACCUCGUCAAGCUCAGCCUUGGAACAAAUCACUUUUCGAUUCUUGGAUGCCCACUGAAAAAUGUAAAACAAUAACAUUGAAUUAUACCUAAAUUUAUAUGUACACCAUUUAAUUAUAUCAACAAUGGAUUAGGCAAAGAAAAAUACCCUUUUAAAAAAUGUCAUUUCAUUGUCCAUGACAAUCUCUUUCAUAUACCGCAUAAUAACAUAGCCGCAUUCAGUUCCACCGGGCUGUUUAGGACAUCCCUAUUUAACCAAAAAAAACUCAAAAUAGUAAGUAAAGUAAUGCCCCUGGUUCUAAGCAUCAGUAGCACAAAUUGUUAAAAAUAAAUACGAAAGCUUACUGUAAUAUAUUUGAAGCUUGGGGCUUUAUUUCCCCUUCCGGCCUGAACAUUGAAAGUAAUCACAGCCCUGUCAUCUUGGCAGUGUUAAUAAUGCACAUGCAUUUAUAUCUCCAUAAGAAAGAUAAUCAAUAAAAAAAUAAAUGAAAAUACCUUGAUAUUGCUUUUUCCAAGUUGGGGAAACUAGUUGAACGAGGCAGAGGAUUAAGUAUGAAAACCUCGCCACCCCAAAACAGAACCAAUACCCAAUGGAAACUAUUUUUAACAAAUAUUUAUGAAAAACACAAUUACUAUCAAAAUCAUAUAAAUUUUAUUUUCAGUCAUGUAAAAAACUAAAUAAAAGAGAUUUAUAAUAAAUAAGAAAACACUUAAGCUACUUACUUGCUAUUAUGCGGCAUCAAAAAGAGACGAUCAGGAUUACCCUCUUUAAAUCGAUUAACCAAGUUAUCUUCAAAAGAAUUGUUCAUCAAGUUCAGCGAGGCUCCAGGAUCACAAAAAGCAAAUUGAUCCUUAGUGCCAUUUUCACGAACCACGCAAUGCAAGUAUCUACAUUGUAAAUGAAAUGAAAUUAUAUAAAAUUACACGAAUAUGAAUUAUAACUAAACAACAGUCAUGAUCUAGAAGACAGUAAUUAAAAAAAGUUUACUCACGCCAUGUAUGCAGCAAUUGCUGCUUGGCCAAUCAUAUUAAACUCCAGCAAGGCGACUAUGUUUUCAUACAAGAUGAAGAUUCUUUUCUCGAUACCAAACACCUCAGCAUCACACGGGAUUUGAAUUGAGUCUCCGGAGGAUUGCAUAAAUGUUGUUGCAUGUUUAUACAACAACCGAAAGCGUUUUGGAACAUUUUUAUUGAUCUCCAUGUUAUGAAACAAGGACUGGACUUUAUCUAAAUCGGUUUUAGGUUCCUUUACUUUCCGUUUACCUUUCUGAAAAAUGAACAAAAUUAAUUUAAAACAAAAUAUAACAAAAUAUAGGGGUAACAUAUAAUAGUACAAUCCAGUACAACAAUUAUGUUAAAGUACACACCAUAGUAGGAAUAGUAGGAGGGGCAUUUGGGAAUAUGAUCAAGUCGCGGGGCCAUGAGACGUACGAGCCAACAGCUUGCUCUACUGUUUCAAUCUCACCUGGUACCGGUUUAGGAAUCUUGGCUUGUCCUUGAAUUGGGCCAUCCACUGAGACGCGAACACAUCCAGGCUCUAUCGGCACUCCAUGUAUAGAUUUGUUCAUGUUAUCAUCAUCAAACAACAAACCAAAUGCCACUUUAUUUUCUAUUGUGCCUACAGCCAACUCACAUUUUCGUGGACCGGCCUACACACAUAUAUUUAAACAAUUAUGACGAAUGCUUGAAAUAUGUUGAGCUAAAUUGAAUAAAUGUGCUAGUUAUUUUACCUUAUUCUCUGGUGGAUUAGGUUCCAAGUCAACUUCAAUCAUCUCUGGUUCCAGUUUUUUCACCACCUCUGUCUUAGCUUCUUUGACAGUGUUUGCCUCACAACUUGCUUUAUCAGAAGCAAUAGGAGAUGAAAUAUUUGCUUUGCUGAGCAAGGCCUUCAUUUCAGCCAUCUCCUGCCUUGUCUUCUCCAUUUCCAUGGCCAUCUCUUUCUUGGCUUUCUCCAGCUCCGCGUCCCUCUCUCGAUCCCUCUCCAACAACUCAGCUUUGGUGAUUCUAUUUCUUCUUCCUGGUGGUAUAUUAAAAAAAAUUGACGGGCUCACAAAGCCUCCAACUCCUCGAACCCUCCCCGAAUGUUCAGGAGUUUGUAGGGCCGUAGUCAACACAUCUCGACUCCCAGAAGGAGUGAAUUCCCCCUUACUUUGCUGCUCUAGUAAAAUAUUCUGACAUGAAAAAUAUGAACAUACAAAUCAUCAUCUAGUGAACCUCAUCAUCAAUAUUAACUUUAAUUUUACGAGCCUUUUAAUUAUAAAUACUCACAAUUCUUUUUCCUAUUUCAGCUAGGUCUGAAUCCUCAUCAUCAGCAUCAUCAGCCUCAUCAUCAUCAUCAACAUUAUCAUUAUCAUCAUCAAUUUUAAUUUUACGAGCCUUUUGCCACAUGAGAGCCCGAUCAGGUUCUUCAUCGGCAGCCAAAGUUCCUUUCUUGAUCUGAUUAAAAUCAAAAAAAAAUUAAAAAGGCCAAGAUAUGUAAAAUACAAUUAUUUAGGUUCAAUGCUUAAAAUACAACUAUUUUUAUACCUCUUCUUCCAAUAAUCCAAUGUAACCCUUUCUUGAUGUCCGGUGAGGAUAUUUUCGAUUACUCACCCUCAGCUUUUGUUUUUCACUAAAAGACUUCAAAUAUUUUAAAUAAUAUUAGAAUACUAUUUUUCAGAAUAUAAAAAGACAUUUAUAUCACAAUAAAGCAGAACAUAAAAUAUAUUUCAUACCAGAAAUUUCGAGGUAGUCCUCUCAGCAACAAAAUUUUUCCAAGCCUCCUUUCCAACAAAAGCAUACUUCUUUGGAGGCUUUCGUAAUUUCUUCUUCUGCCCAAGAUACGGCCUCACAUAAUCUCUUGUUAAAUUUGCUUUAAAAUUCCUCCACUUUGCUCCUGCAGACCUGAUCAACCCCUUCUCAAGUUGCUUAGGAACUUUAAAUGUCUCCUGCAACCAAUGUUAAUUGACAAAAUUUACAAAAUUAUACUCUAAAUGAGUAGAAGAAAAUGCAAAAUUUACAAAAUGCAUAGGAGAUUACUUAUUUUUAUACCUUCACAUCAAUCCAUAUUUUCUCCUUUAGUUCAUCAGGUACCUUUGACCAGUUAGGAUAAUCAAUCGGAAUCAUUGUCCUAGCCAACAUUCCAGUGUAGGAUUGUAGACUGUGCCUUGCAUCCCCUGUAGGAACUCCAUGUGCAUUACAUGAAACCUUUGUUUUCUUGCCCUGCGCCUUCCUCACCACCACUUUAUACAUAGCAGAAACCCCUCGGGCACCCCCACGCUUUUUCUUUGCUGUUUCAGAUGUUGUAACUGUUGCAUCCGUUUCCUCCACAGAAUUCACAUUUUCUCCCUGAGGUUCUGUUGUCAGCUCCAACCUUUUAUCUGAUGCCUCAUCCGACUUUUUGGAGUCUUCAUGGAAUUGUACUUUGGUUUUUUGCUUUUUAUUUGCCAUUUAUCUUCUUCAAUCUGAAAAUGAAACAUAUAUAAUCCAUUAGUCACAGGCAUAUAUACGAGCAAUUACAGGAUAAGCAGUUAUAAAGUUACAUAAGCCUACAUAAGCCGUUACAAAAUUGUAAAAAUGCAUAACUAAACAUUUACACAGAGUGAAAAUUACAGGAGUCUAAUUACACAGAGUAAAUUACAAAGUUGCAUCACAUAUAUUACAUGACUUGAAAUAAUGUUAUCACAGAGUAAAUUACAAAGUCUCAUCACAAAAUUAACUAUUACAUGACUUGAAAUAAUGUUAUCACUUCUUAACCCAAGUGCCCUUAAUAUUUUCUCUAAUACUUUUCUCAACAUCAUCACCGACAUCACAUGUAGGAAUUUGGCAGCAGAAUGGAGGAUUUUCCAUGGUUGUGUCUCCUAAAUCAUCAUCGUUAUACACCUCUUGGUAGUCUCGAGUUGUAGAGGUUAAUACGACGGACCACUUGGCAUCCACCGGAUCUUCAAUAUAAUAAACUUGCUUUACUUGAUCUAUAGACACGUAUUUAUCUCUCUUGUGGCCUUGUCGACUUAGAUCGACAAGUGUGAACCCAAGAUCAUCCACCUUAAUUCCCUUGUCAUUGUCCGCCCAAUUACAUAAAAACAGUGGGGCUUUGAAUGCAUGAUAAUCCAGCUCCCAUAUAUCUAGGAUAACACCAUAAAAUGUCAAGUCACUUUCUACGGGGUUUAAAUCUUUAGCGCUAGACACUUGGACAGUUUUAGCAACUAAAGACACUCCGCUGUUUUGAACUACCCUCACAUUGUCUCGCUGUUUUGUAAAGUAUCGGACCCCGUCUACUAGAUAAGCUUCGUAAGUCAUAACUGAAAAUGAUGGUUUUCCAGCUAUCCAUCUUACUGUCUCUGAAACUCCUCCAGGAUUCUCCACCAUUUCACUACUGACCUACACAUUUCAUAAACAGAAAUUAUCCUAAAUUACUAUAGAGAAAAUAAAUUAGGCACAAAUGAAACUAUAAAAAUACUAACUUUUUCUAGAAACCAAUCAGCAAAACUGUUAUUGUGCUCUCUCAAGAGCCAAUGAACGCUUUUCUUUUUCCCACGAUGGAUUUCCUCUAGAUACUCCUUAUGCAUUCUGCCAAAAAUUAUAUAUUCAUUAAAGAAGUAGUUUAUACAGAAUGUAUAUAUUAAUUGAACAGCCACAAAAUUAAAAAAAUCUUACAAGAUAUAUGGCUGUACUUCAAGGUUGUUUAGAAGAACGUGUAAAUGAGCUUCAUCCCUCUCUUUUUCUUCGAUUGAUUUCAUUACCGCAACAGAUAAUGGACCACUUAACUUGCCUUCAUCUUUGCGAAGACCAGCAGUGGUGCAAGUUUGCUUGACAAACUCUUGGCAGAAUUCAAUCGAUUCUUCUCCAAGAUAACAUUCUGCUAUACAACCUUCGGGGUAGUAACGAUUGCGUACGUAACUCUUCAACACCUUAUUAAACCUCUCAAAUGCAUACAUCCAUCUAUAGAAGACUGGCCCACAUAACCGUAAUUCCCGAACCAAGUGCACUAUGAGAUGUAUCAUUACAUCAAAAAAUGAUGCAGGAAAAAUUUUUUCUAGCUCGCACAAAGUUACUAUUACAUCUGAUUGCAAUUUAUCUAGUUUAGAUACGUCGACAACUUUGCUGCAUAAAGCAUUAAAGAAGAAACACAAUCUAAUUAUUGUGACCCUGACUUUUUUUGGAAGUACCGCGCGAAUUGCAAUAGGAAGUAAUUGUUGAAGUAGGAUGUGGCAAUCGUGGGACUUCAACCCAAACAUUUUUAAUUCUUCCAUGGAAACACAGUUUUUAAUGUUUGACGCGUGUCCAUAAGGAAGUUUCAUGUGCAUUAACGAUGACAACAUCUUCUUCUUUUCUGCCUUGGACAAAUUAAAAAUCGAAGGAGGUAAAUAGGUCUUUCUUUCUCCUUUUUGUGGAGCUAGAUCAGCCCUAACCCCCAUGUCAAUCAUGUCAAGACGAGAAGCUUCACUAUCUUUAGACUUAUGUUUCAUAUUCAGUAGUGUGCCAAUCAAGCUAUCACACACGUUUUUCUCCACGUGCAUAACAUCUAGACAAUGACGGACAUGGUGAAAUUUCCAAUACUCUAACUCGAAGAAAAUUGACUUUUUCUUCCAUGGACAGUCAACCUUCUUUGACUUCCUUACUUCUUUCCCAAACUGAAAUUCAAUUUUUUCUUGCUGCAAUAAAACCUCUUCUCCCGAAAGAGGUUGACGUGCCUGCCCUAAUUCUUGUUGUCCAUUAAAAGCAGCUUUUUGCUUCCUAUAUGGAUGAUUUCUAGCCAAGUAACGUCGAUGACCUUGGUAACACAUCUUCCUACUAUGGCUUAAAUACUUUGCAACAGUAUCAUCACCACAUAUUGGACAAGACAUAUAACCUUUAUUAACACAUCCGGACAGAUUUCCAUAUGCGGGAAAGUCGUUUAUUGUCCACAAUAAAAUUGCUUUUAAAGUGAAAUACGACUUAGUGUGUGCAUCAUAGACAUUUGGUUCACCUUCCUCCCACAACUUCUUUAAAUCAUCGAUUAGAGGCUGUAAAUAUACAUCAAGGUCAUUACCAGGCUCAUGAGGACCGGGAACUAAAACUGUUAGCAUCAUAAACUUCCUCUUCAUGCAUAACCACGGAGGAAGAUUAUAAGUCACUAGUACUACUGGCCAACAAGUGUAUCUAUUGGUUAGACCGUUAUUAUGCGGGUUUAUACCAUCUGCAGACAACGCCAAGCGAAUAUUUCUUGCCUCACUACCGAAGGCAGGCCACCUAUAGUCGAUAUUUCUCCAAGAAGGAGAGUCGGCUGGAUGCCGCAUCUUUCCAUCUUCUAUUCGCUGCUUUGCGUGCCAGGUAAUCAGUUCAGAUGUAGAAGGAGAUUUAAACAUUCGCUUCAAUCUCGGAAUAAUUGGAAAAUACCACAUUAUUUUAGCAGGAACAUUAAUCCUUACUUUACCAUCCUUUCCUAACUUCCAGCGAGAUAGACUACACUUAGGACACUUAGAAGCAUCAACAUAUACCCCCCGAUAUAGUAUGCAAUCGUUUGGACAUGAGUGGUACUUUAUGUAUUCUAGGCCUAAGUUGGAUAAUGUUUUCUUGGCUUCAUAUGCAUUAGGUGGCAUCACAUUUUCCUUAGGAAGGAGAGAGCCAACAGUAGACAAUAAAUCUGUAAAGGCGCUAUCACUAAUUCCAAACCUUGCUUUCCAAUUAUGCAGUUUUAGCAUCGACUCCAAUUUGGUACAUUCACUACCCUCAUACAAAGGCUGUUGAGCAUCAGCCACAAAUCUCCUAAACUGAUACGACUCAUUAUUGUACUCACUCGAAUUAUACGCAGCAUCACAAACAUUGACUGUUUGUGAUGCAUGACCAGGGGAAUGCAUCGAUGCAGGGUCAAGCGUAGGUGCAGGGCUAGGGGCAUUGUCAUGAACUGUUGAUCCAGUGAUUCCACACCCUUGUGUGUGCCAAAUCCAAUCAAGGUAUCCCAAACUAAAACCGUAUUCAUAUAAAUGUCCCCUAAUAAUCUUAACUGCAAAUUUUUUAAAGUUAACACAUCUUUUGCAGGGGCAUGGGAUUUUUUUAGUAUCACUAGCAUUUUCCUCGGCAAAUAUUAAAAACUCUUCAACCCCGAUUUCAUAGUCAAGUGUAUCCCUAUCUUUGAAAAUCCAAGACUUGUCCAUGUUAUUCUCAAACUACCUGAUUGUCAAAUAUGAUAUCAAAUUACAUGGUAACAAAGAUCCAAACACAAUAUACAAUUACAUUUACAAACUAAACAAACACAAAUAUAUUUACACAGCUGUGCAUAAAACAUAAAAAACAAAUCCCAAGCUCUAAACAUAUAUAACACAGUACAUAAAAAAGAAACCCCAAGCUCCAAACAUAUAUAAAACAUAUAUACAACUACACGUUUAAUUUUCACAUGCAUACAUAUAACUACAAAAAGUUAUACUUGCAACCGAAACAUUUAUAUAAAUAUAAAGAAGAAUAUAGAAGAAUAUAUAUACCUAAAACCCAGCAGCUUCGAAACCCAGCACCUCCAAAAUCCAGCAGCUAUCCAGCAGCUUCGAAAACCCAGCAACUACCCUAAUCUCCAAGCUUCAAAUCUCCAAGCUUCAAAGAACCCUAAUCUCCAAGCUCCACUCGACCCUAAGCUUGAAGAUCGAACCUUAAGCUUGAACACAGCAGCUUCGAAUCGCGCACAAAUCGCACCUAGGGUUUAGAAGAGAGGGAAUCAGUUAAUAGAACAUUUGAAAGGGGGUUUAGAAGAGAGGGAAUCAGUUAUUAAACCAAGAACGAGGAUUGAAGGACUGAAGGAUUGAAGAAAAUCGCAUACCUAGGUUUAGCUGUCGAGAGAAAGGGGGAAGAGCUGCUGUCUGAAAGAAAUAUGUAUAUAUGUCCCGAUUGUUUUCUUUUGAAUGCUUUUGUUUUAAUUUUGAUUUAUUUUUAAUGUUUUUUUAUUGUUUUAUACUGAGGCGGGAGUGAAUGAUAUGUUAAAGGGGGGGAAAACAGUAGGGGGAACUAAUUAAAAAAUUGACUAAGGGCGGGGGAGCGGAGGGCGCGGGCUUUAAUAUUUUUAAAAUUGAGAUUAGACAUCGCUUAAUAAACAAUGUGAUGUGAAAAAAUUUUAAAGUGAGAGCUUAGACAUCACUUAUGUUAAGGACUGAUGUAAAGAUACCAGAAAGACAUCACAUAUAAAACGAGCGAUGUAAAAAAGGCAUUUUACAUCGGUGACACUUCCGACUGAUGUCUAAUGUGCGAUGUCUAUUGACGAAUUUCUAGUAGUCUCCAAAGGAUAUUUAUCUUUCCAUCAUGAUGCAGCAGUCUCCUUAACUGUGAAGGGAACGGAGUAUGAGGUAGCAAAGAACCUUCAUAUUUACACAGCCAUUGAUCUGUCGGGCACCUAAUUUCAGGGUCGAAUUCCAAACGUCACUGGAGAGCUUAGAUGGCUUGCAUUGCUCAAUUUAUCGCAUAAUAGUUUAACAGGACCUAUCCCAUCAUUGCUGAGAAAUAUGAAAGAACUCCAAUCUUUAGAUUUGUCCUCAAAUCGACUGACAGGGGCUAUUCCACCUCAGCUAACUGCAUUGACAUUUCUAGAGGUCUUGAACCUCUCGAAAAACCAUCUUAGUGGAGAGAUUCCUCAGAAAGGACAGUUCAGCACAUUCAACAAUGAUUCUUAUCUAGGAAACUCCGCGUUAUGUGGAUCACCUUUGACGAAGAAAUGUGCAAACACAGCAUCACCUCCACAAGAAGUCGGAAAUGGUGAUGAAGAUGAUGCUGGAGAUGAAUUGACAUGGGAAGCAAUCGUGAUGGGAUAUGGAUGUGGACUGAUAUGUGGAUUGUCAUCUGCGUACAUUGUUCUCAAACUAGGAAAGCCUUGGUGGUUUGUGAGAUAUAUCGAAGUACUGCAACUGAAGUUGAUGAAAAGAUAUGCAUGAAGAAUGGUACUGCACUACAACAAAAACAGCAUCACACAACGGUUUUUGCCCGUUGUCUGAUACCCAAGAAAACCGUGGUCUAUUGCGAUGCCGUCUGAUACGCGCCUCAGACAACGUUUUAUUAGUUAAAGGCUUGUCUAUAAGGCCAUGCUACGAUGGUAACAAAAACACUUGUAUGUUAGCUUCCUGGUCACACAACACUGUAUGGAACCCUUGUUUAAACGGCUCGUAAACAACACAACAAAUAAAACACUUGUCUAAUUACAACAACGGUUUCUUGAAAUAUUGUCUGAAGUUUCUUCACACAUCGGCUCUAAAAACAGUUGUCUAACGUGCAUCAUUACACAAUAUCACAGUUAAGAUACCGUUGUCUGAUUGAAUUUACUAGACAACACUUUUUAAACCGUUGUAGGUUGUAGGUGUUGGACAAUAGUUUUUCGAGGACGAAAAUAAAGUGUUGUGUCUUUGUUUCGGCCAACACUUUUUCCAGCGUCCGUUGUCUGACUAGUGUCGUGUGAUGCCAGUUUUGUUGUAGUGCUGGUUGAUCCAGACGAACUAGAAAGUUGUUGUCCUGGUAGACAUUUCUGAACCAUUUGUGUCCUGGCUGAAUAAGUAUUUGGUAUUAUGUAAUAAUCCGUUUGGUUGGGACUCAAAAUGAUUUCUCUUGCUUCAGGGGUAUUAAUAUUAACCUUCCUAUCUUGAUCAAUGUUAAAUCAAAUUAAAUGAAUGAAAAAACAAAAAGUAUGCAUCAAAUCCGCUCCUGCUGUACCUAACAAUUUAACAGCACCCUUCCACACUGUUCAUACCUAAUUUGCGUGUAAUAUGAAAACUAAGAGGCAUGGCUUUUGUCUUUGAGAGAACUUAUUCCAAGUCUUCUUCGGAGGCCUACUGCCUCAACAACCUUUCAAAGACUAUGCAAUAAUCCACGUGACAGAAAAACCAAAGUCCAAUUAGUAUUAUAAGUUCAUAAAAAAUACUAUAGGAUCAUUAGCAUUAGCAUUACAUUAGCAUACAGCAUAUAUAUAAAUAGAAGAAUGCAGUGUGGUAUUGGAUUCAUAAUCCAAUUGAGCAGAAACAUGGCACACUUUGUAAAGCCUUAUGACCUUCUUCUCUGUGUUUUCUUUCUCUCAUCACUUGAAUCCAUUCUUGCAACAAGACGAGAAGGAGAAGCUCUUGUGAAAUGGAAGAACAGCCUAGCCCCGUCUUCUUCUCUUGAUUCUUGGUCACUCACUCAUCUCGAUAAUCUUUGUAACUGGACUGGCAUUACUUGUAACUCUGCAGGUUCAGUCUCUGACAUUAACCUUUUCAACAAACAACUCACUGGAAAGCUUUUCGAGUUUGGUUUCACUUCAUUUCCGAAUCUCAACAAUCUCACCCUCGCAGAUAACUUCUUCUCUGGUCCAAUACCAUCAGCCAUUGGGAAUUUAACACAGCUUCAAUAUCUUGAUUUGAGCAAUAAUUAUCUCAAUGGUUCCAUUCCGUACCAGGUUAGCCAUCUUUCAAAAUUACACGUCUUAAACCUGUCAGAGAAUGAACUGCAAGCUCCAAAUUGGUCCAAUUUCUCCCCCAUGCCUUAUUUGACCAUCCUCGACCUUUAUCAGAAUAAUCUUAUGUUGGAAUUUCCAGAAUUUAUAUCUAACUCGCGUAACCUGACAUACCUUGACCUUUCAUAUAACAAGUUCACAGGCGAUCUUGUGCGCGAAUCAGUAUUAGCCAAUCCAGGUGAUCUCGAAACCCUCUAUCUUAAUGAAAAUUCUUUUGGGGGGCCAUUUCCACCAGACAUAUUCAAACUUUCCAAGUUGAGAGUUCUUGCCCUGUUCAAUAAUCUUUUUGAGGGGCCGCUUCCGUCAAAUAUAUUCAAGCUCUCUAAACUAAGAUUCCUUUUACUUUGGAGUAAUAAUUUUUCAGGUACUCUUUCGAAUGAAAUAGGUUUGCUUUCUGAGCUUGAAGACCUAGAUCUUCACUCCAAUUUUUUUGUGGGGCCGCUUCCGCCAAAUAUAUUCAAGCUCUCUAAACUAAGAACCCUUUUCCUCUUGGGUAAUAACUUCUCAGGUUCUAUUUCCAACGACAUAGGUUUGCUUUCUGAGCUUGAACACCUAUAUCUCGACUCCAAUUCUUUUGAGGGACCUUUUCCAACAAAUAUUUUCAAGCUUUCCAAAUUAAUACAACUUGGUCUCGCAAACAAUACAAAUUUAUUUGAAGGAAGUAUUCCUCCAGGACUGGGGCUCUUGACUAACCUAGAGGACUUGUCUCUUGCUUACAAUAAUCUUGGUGGCUAUAUUCCGUCUUCCUUUGGAAACCUAACACUACUAGUAUAUCUUAAUCUCGCUCGUAAUCAAUUGGUUGGAACACUAUCAAAGACCAUUUCUAAUCUCACAAAUCUAUGGUUUCUUGAUGUACAUCAUAAUAGUCUCUCUGGGAAUAUUCAGAGUGACUUCUGGAAAAACUCUACAUCACUGCGUUACAUUAAUUUGGCAGACAAUAAUUUUUCUGGGAACAUUCCUAAGGAAUAUAAUGUUCUUCCAAUCCUGGAUCACAUCAAUUUUAGGGGGAACAAUUUUACAGGUAUUUUUCUUUCCAUAUUUUUUCCUUCUGUUGUAUUCAAUUAUGCUAGAAACUACAGCCUCUGUUUUUUCAAAUACAUAUCGUUUAACUUUUUGGCACAAAACUUUAUAAUAAUUCUAACUAAAAGGUCAAUGAACUCAAAAAUGUGUGUCAAAAAGUCAAACGUCAUUUAUCUGAAAUCAGAGGGAGUAUAUAUUACUGUUUUACCAAAGUUUCAACAAUCAUGACAGGUGAGCUUCCACCAACAAUUUGCGAUGCCACUUCCCUUUCGAUUCUUGAUCUGUCAAAUAAUGGAUUUAGUGGUGCAGUUCCACAUUGUUUGGGGAAUCUUGCGGAUAAAUUGAUUUCGAUUAAUCUUGCUAAUAAUCAGUUUCAAGGACCAAUACCAACAAAUUUCUCCGAGAGUUGUCGUCUGACGUAUCUUAACAUCUAUAACAAUCACUUCAAAGGUUUGGUUCCCCAAUCUUUGGCAAACUGUAAGCACUUGCAAAUUCUUGAUUUUGGAAAAAAUGAAAUAGGUGGAACACUUCCGUCAUGGUUUUUUACUCUUGGAGAGCUAGAAGUCCUGAUCCUGCGAUCAAACAGAUUUUUCGGGAGAAUAACUAGAAGGAGCAUACCACGCCCCUUUCCCAAGUUGCGGAUUUUGGAUCUAUCCAACAAUCAGUUCACCGGCUAUCUGCCAAUUUUAUACUUCAAGAAUAUGAAACCAAAUGAUAAUAAUUAUGAUUAUUUCAACAACACAAACGAAGCCUAUUACGUUUAUCAAGUUUCUAUCACAUUAAAUGUGAAAGGAAGCGAGCAUGAAGUGACAAAUAUUCUUCAUAUUUACACGGCCAUUGAUCUGUCGUGCAACAAAUUUGAAGGAAAAGUUCCAGACAUUACCGGAGAGCUUAGAUGGCUUGCAUUGCUAAAUUUAUCUCAUAAUAGUCUUUCGGGGCCUAUUCCAUCACAACUGGGAAAAAUGAAAGAGCUCCAGUCUCUAGAUUUGUCGUCAAAUCAAUUGACAGGUGUUAUUCCGGAUCAACUUACUAGUAUGACAUUUCUUGCUAGUUUGAACCUCUCAGAAAACCAUCUUUCUGGGAAAAUCCCUCGGAAAGGACAGUUCAGCACUUUUGGCGAAGAAUCUUACUUAGGUAAAUCGGCCUUGUGUGGAGUUCCUUUGACAAAGAACUGUAUAGACGAUGUGCCACCUUCACAAGUUGGAAAUGGCAAUGAUGAAAAUGUUGAUGAAGAUGAUACCGUUGAUGAAUUCAAUUGGAAAGUGAUCCUGAUGGGAUAUGCAUGUGGAUUAAUAGGCGGAUUGUCUGCAGGAUACAUUGUCUUCACAGUCGGAAAGCCUUGGUGGUUUUUGAGAUACAUUGAGACACUGCAGCAGAAGUUGAUCUGAUGCGCAACUAGAAACAACGUUAUAAUCUUAGAAUGACUUGUGUCUUUAAACAGAGUUAGGAACUUAGGAUGACUUGUGGUGCUAUAUUUUUUUUUUGAAAAAAAAAAACAUAUUUUUGUAAUUUUUUAGAUACAGAUGUUAAGAAGGUGUUGUAUAUUCAUUUUUUACCCAAAAAAAAAAAGAGGGCUUAUUUCAUGAAAAUUAGAGUUUUAUGUAUUUUCUCCAGAAAUUAGUCCUUAUUUCUGAAAAUAAGGUUAGUCAAAACGGUCACUACACGAUUGGUAGCCUUUCAGUUCUUCCUAGUGUCCACUACAGUUUCAUUCCUUACCAGUUAUUUUAUGCUCUGCACUGCAUUAUGCAGCUUUCAUAUUACUGACAGCUAAUCUCCUUCCAACACUUUGCGAUGCGAAGCAGGGACGCAUAAGUAUUUUUAUAUGUGUAUUAGUUUUGAAGAUUAAAGUUGCAUGGACAAUUGUGUUGAUAAUUUGAGCAAUGUUAACCGGGAUAGGUCUUCUUCUCUCUCCCAAGUCUUCUGAGGACUCAUCGGCUCAGAUUAGUCUAUCCAAAAAUUAUGAUCUGACGGCUAUUGGCACACUAACGAUUUACAUAUCACUUGAAUAUUACUGGAUACCCGCAUCUUGUUUUAAAUGGCGUAUAUCGGCUAAUAGUUCAACGAUGGUGACAAAUCCCGGUGAUCCAAAUAAUUGAUUGUCGCAAAAUUUUCCGCUUACAUCCAACUAACACGUAUUAGGAAAAAAAAUUAUAUAAUUAAACACGCUCAUGUAUCUAUAUCUUUUACAAGAUUGUAAGUCCCCAAUUCUAUGUGAUAUUAGCUAUAUGUGACUAGAAGGUUUAGAAAUACUAGAUUAUCAAGAUUUCUUUUUAUUCUAGCUAGUGUUGAGUUAUAUUUAUUUUCUUCAAACAAUCAAUACUUAUUUUUUAUUAAUAUGUGAAACUCCAAUAUAUAUUAUUAUACGAUAUAUUAUGAAAACACUAUAUUUUGUAAUGUUCAUCUUAUCCUACCAGCAAAAUUACAUCGCUAACAAAAUUAUAUCAAUUUUAUUUUAUAAACUCAAAUAAUUUAAUUUAUGAAACAACUCUAUGAGAUUCUUAUCAUGAGUUAGAAUUCAAAUAAAUAAAGAGUUCAUAUUGAUAAGUGGAAUUGAUGUGCAAGUAAGGGGUAUAAAAAAAUCUCAAAAUAACUCCAAAAAGCACAUGACAUGUUUGAUUUAAUAGAACUGGUACAUAAACAGGGGGACCAUUAUAUUUAUAAGCAAGUGACCAACAAUAGUUUACUACUGAUAUUUUGUGAUAUUUUUUGUGAUAUUUUUUGAGACCUUUAACAUUAUUCUGUGAAGUGGUAUACUACUGUUACUAGUUCUGAAACUUCAAACAAAGUAGGCGCAACAUUGUAAGAGUGAUUAAUAAAGUUGAGAAACAGUGUGUACAUUGAGCAGUAUGACAAUCAGGUUCAGCAUAUAAUACAAUCAGAUUCACAAUCAGGUUCACGAGAAACAUGCUGCAUUCCAAAAAGCCUUAUUAUCUUCUUCACUAAAUAACAAGGCAAAUACAGCAUAUAAAUACAAGUUAUAAGUACAAGUGUGGUAUUAGAUUCAUAACCCAGUUGAGGAGAAACAUGGCACACUUUGUAAGGCCUUCUCACCUUCUUCUCUUUGUUUUCUUUCUCUCAUCACUAGAAUCCAUUCUUGCAACAAGACGAGAGGGGGAAGCUCUUGUGAAGUGGAAGAAUAGCCUAGCCCCUUCUUCUUUUCUCCACUCUUGGUCACUCUCCAAUCUCGAAAAUCUUUGCAACUGGACUGGCAUUACUUGUAACUCUGCAGGUUCAGUCUCUGAGAUUGACCUUUGUGAGAAACAACUUGAUGGAAUGCUGUCCGAGUUUGGUCUCACUUCAUUUCCAAAUCUCAACAAUCUCACCCUCGCAGACAACUUCUUCUCAGGUCCAAUACCACCAGCCAUUGAGAAUUUAACACAGCUUCAAUAUCUUGAUUUAAGCAUGAAAAGUCUUAAUGGUCCCAUUCCGUUCCAGGUUAGCCAUCGUCAGAGCUUGCUCAUCUUAGACCUGUCACAGAAUGCAUUGCAAGCUUCAAAUUGGUCCAAUUUCUCUCCCAUGCCUCAGUUGCGCUUCCUCAAGCUCAGUAGCAAUCAUCUUGUGUCGAAAUUCCCAAAUUUUAUAUCCAGUUCUCAUAGCCUGACUUACCUCAACCUCUCAUAUAACAUUGGAAACCUCAAAAAAUAUAUAUUUAUAUAUUUAUAAUUAAAAAAUUGAAUUACUUAAUAUAUUAAAAAAUUGAAUAAAAUUUUAUAUAUUUUAUUAAAAAAUUGAAUAAAAAUUGAAUAAAAUUGAAUAAAAUUGAAGUACACGAAAAGGUACACGACACGAAAUACACGACUGAGAAGUCGUGUCGGUUUUGUGUUUACCCUUCGGGUACACGACACGAGGUACACGAAAUAAAUAAAUAAAUAUAUAUAUAUAUAUUUACCCUUCGGAUUAAGAGUUGGUCGC
rnacentral:lncRNA from 1 species